rnacentral:lncRNA from 1 species
GUCAAUACUGAACUGAGCCAGUCUGAGGUUCGACAAAGGUUGUCCGGUGUCGAGUAGGGAGGAGCACAAAAUUGUUUCUCCUUGUUUAGAAAUGUAGCGGUGUAUCAGUGCAAGGUUGCGCCUAGAUGCUGGAAGAUGCUUAGUUGUCGAAGUUGAUGCUCAAGUUCAGACACUGCCCAGUUUAAAUUCAGUUAUCAGCGCCUCUGUUCAAGAUCAGACAAGACGCAACAACCCUUGACUCAGUGAUUGACAUGUGUAGCUGAAGUAUUCUAACAGCUGAUGAGGUUGGGCUGCCAAUUUCUUACAUAAUGUGUAUGCUCCGAGAUGUCUCUGGAUGAAAUGAUGUUUGUUAUUCUUGGUCUGGGCCUCAACUAUGAUUUUUUUUUUAUUUCUGUCUCUUGAAGCACUCUGUCUUCUCUAAGACCAAACAUAAAAAUGUGAAGUACUUUCUUUUUGAAGCAAGGAUACAUAAGUGUGAGUUACUUUAUGAUUCCUUAAAAUUCCUAACAACCUGUCCCAUCUUGUUACAGAGCACUGUAAAUCAAGAGCACCAAAUGGUUAUACUUAGUCAACCAGCUAGUCUGGUUCUAGAGUUUUAGUAGUACAAAACAGAAUCAGAAUCAAUACCUACAGAUAAUUAAGCCUAUAUAACACAUGCUCUCCUGCCGUUUCAUGUUUCUCACUCGUGAAAGAGUCCAAGAACAACUCUCUAAUUUGCUUUUUCUUCUGAUCAUUCGGCGCACCAAAACCAUCCCCACCUUGGUAAACACUGUGAGAUUAGUGUGAGAUUCGUGCCAAGUUCACGCAAGUCUUGCCAAAAGAUCUAGAAAAUUGGCAAUGUUUGAAUGCAUCUUCAUUAAUCGACUUCCAGGCUUCCAUGGUAAGAUCUUCCAUGGCUUUACGGGACUCUUGCUCACGGAAGAUUAAUGUACAUGGAAUCGUGGAACACUAGUGCAGAACCGGGCUAUAGCACCGGUUCAUAAGGCCCUUUAGUGCCGGUUCUGCAACCGGCACUAACNNNNNNNNNNNNNNNNNNNNNNNNNNNNNNNNNNNNNNNNNNNNNNNNNNNNNNNNNNNNNNNNNNNNNNNNNNNNNNNNNNNNNNNNNNNNNNNNNNNNNNNNNNNNNNNNNNNNNNNNNNNNNNNNNNNNNNNNNNNNNNNNNNNNNNNNNNNNNNNNNNNNNNNNNNNNNNNNNNNNNNNNNNNNNNNNNNNNNNNNNNNNNNNNNNNNNNNNNNNNNNNNNNNNNNNNNNNNNNNNNNNNNNNNNNNNNNNNNNNNNNNNNNNNNNNNNNNNNNNNNNNNNNNNNNNNNNNNNNNNNNNNNNNNNNNNNNNNNNNNNNNNNNNNNNNNNNNNNNNNNNNNNNNNNNNNNNNNNNNNNNNNNNNNNNNNNAGAACUUUGGAGGAGAAGGAAACAGGCUAUGCAGACCAGGUUCAGCGGCAGAAGCUCAUAUCAUGUCUGCCAAGCACCUUUGACAUUAUCUUCCUUAUCUACAAGAUAAUCGAAAGUAACCCAAAGAUCAUGGACAAGGGUAAGUGUGAUCUGUGCUUUCUAUCUUUGUGCCGCUUCAGCUUGUUGUUUGCAAUGUGAAUCCUGACGUUGAACUACUAAAUCUGCAGGUGAAGUUGAAGAGCAAAUGAGACUGCUUCUAGAGUUUGUCCUAGAGUGGAUCUCUGAGAAGACUGCAAGAAACGGAGAUGUUCUCUGCUGGUAAGUGGUAAACAUUGCUUAUCCGAUGCAUAAAUAUUGAACGUGCUACUAUUACAAUCCAUCAUUCUUAGACGUCUUAAUUCGUGUUAAAUGUUGAUUUUCAGCAUCGAUACGGCACUGAGCCAGUUUGAGGUUCGACAAAGGUUGUCUGGCGUCGAGUAGGGUCGCGCACAAAAUUGUUUCACCUUGUUUAGAAAUGUAGCAGUAUAUCAGUGCAAGGUUGUGCCAGAUGCUGGAAGAUACUUGGUUGUCCAAGUUGAUGCUCAAGUUCAGACACUGCCCAGUUUAAGUUCAGUUAUCAACGUCUGUUCAAUCAAGUUCAGACGCAAGACAACAACCCCUGACUCAGUGAUUGACAUGUGUAGCUGAAGUAUUCUAACAGCUGAUGAUGUUGGGCUGCCUAUUUCUACCAUAAUGUGUAAAACCCCAUGCUCCGAGAUGUCUCUGGAUGAAAUGGUGUUUGUUAUCCUUGAUCUGGGACUCAACUAUGAAAACAUUUUAAUUCUGGUUGUCGCUCAGGCAUUUUGUGUUCUUGAAUGGCUCGGUAGUCACAGUACUUUCUUUUUGAAGCAAGGUUAAAAUAAGUGUGAAGGUACUUUAUGAAUCCUGAAAAUUUCUAACAACUUGUCACAUCUUGUUACGGAGCACUAAGCACUGUAAAUCAAGACCACCAAAUGGUGCCAUUUAAUCAACCAGCUAGUGUUGGUUCUAGAGUUUUAGUAGUAUAACACAGAAUCAGAAUCAAUACCUACAGAUAAUUAAGCCUAUAUAGCAUCUUUCUAAGAUAUGUGUCUCCCACCGUUUAAUGUUUCUCACUCAUGAUAGAGUCCAAGAACAACUCUUUAAUUUGCCUUUUGUUCUGACCAUCCGGCGCACCAAAACCAUCGCAGCCUUGGUAAACACAAUGUGAGAUUCGAGCCAAAUUCACGCAAGUCUUGGCGAAAGAUCUAGAAAAUCGGCAAUGUUUGAAUGCAUCUUCAUUAAUUGACUUCCAGGCUUCCAUGGUAAGAUCUUCCAUGGCUUCGCGGGACUCUUGCUCACUGGAGCUGUUCUCGGGCAUGUGAAUAGCUAUUGAUGAUGGUGCAUCCCCUCGCUCCAGCUCAGCCUGUUAUACAUAUUUUGACAAAAUACACAUGGAAAUAAAUAUCAUAAGACACCUCACAUAAGAUUAAAAUUUUGGUGAUGAAACAUCAAGGGACAAAAAAAGUUGGAUUGAUUGUCCUUAUAGAGUGGGUUGCAGAGUCGUUGCAGAGGCGAAGAACUAACGAUGCAGACUGAACUAAUUUUGGGUAGCCUCCAACUUUAGCAAUAGAGAUUGAGGUGAGCUUUUCUUCCACGCGGAGCAGGGGAAAUGCAUGUUGCAGUAGCAGUGGCGCAGAAGAUGAAAUUGAUCCAUUGUCCAGAUACUCAUGGAGUGUUGGUCUGUGGUUUCCAUGCUGCCACUUUGCCUCCACCAGGAAAGACUCCGCCAUGUCUCCCCACUGCAAAAUCAAGUAGAAAUUAUUAUGGUUCCUUGUGGAUUAAUCUAUCUCCUAUUAGGAAGUUGAUUGUGUAUAUGAACUUACAGCUUUCUGAAGAACAUAACGGGUGUCACAACCAUGUUGUUUAAACACAUUUUCAGCCACCUCAGCGGACGUGUUGUACACGACGGAAUAGAGUGCUUGCAUGUAUUCAGGGAGCAUUUCACAAGGACUUUCUUCCCAUCUGAAAUUAUUUAUUAAGCUUCAUUUAAUGUGAAACUAACGUGUCAUAUAUAUGUUAACUCUAGGAAAAGAAUAUUACUUGAAUUAUGAGAAGUGCACCGCUGCAUAUAGUUACCUUCCAAUGGCGUCAGUGAAGAGAACAAGUUCAUCUGGAGUUCCAUACACAUCAUAAACAUCAUCUAAGUGAACUAUUAGGUUGGCGACUUUAGCAAGCACUUCUCGACAUGCUCCAUUAUUUGGCUCCCACACAAUUCCAUUUGCGUAAUGGAAGCACUCCAUGAGACGAUCCCUGGCGAACCCCAAUUUUUCAGUAAGGGCGGUUCCCUUCCACCACCUACAAUUAAUUAUGUCAAUUUUCAUGUCUUAAAAACCCAUCGACAACAUUUCUUCAUGCAGAAUUACCUUGCCAGUCUUGCGAGUUCUUCCUGAUGCACACUUUGAACAUUGUUGAAGUCCUUCGUUGCAAAUCUAACGAGCAACGGGUCGGAAUUGCUCUCAUCACUAGCAUAGUGAUCUAUGAACCAUCUUGCUUCUAGUCUAGGAGACCUCCGGUGCAAUGGAAGGUCCAAAGAACGAACUACACUACGCCGUAAGUGGUGAUCCAUGGAUGGCAAGAGCUUUAUGAGAGCUUUCUUGGAAAAUGCUCUUGCCUCGUCCAAUGCUUCCUCGCCUUCAAACGUAAGGUAUGAAGCCUCAUAGAGUGAGAGGAGCCCCUUGACAUCAUCAUCUAUUCCGCGCCUGAGAUCUUCCAGAGAUUCUUUUUGUAUUGUUACAAUGAAACGUGUCAGUUAAGUAUACAAAACCGUGCCAUAAACACAAUUCAAAGUUUCAACUGUGAUUGAAUAUGGAUUGGACCAUGCAUUUAGUUUAAUUUCCAGAAUUUUGGCUAUAAUUUUAGGUUCCUUUCUUACAUCGUCUAAGAUUCUGUUUUUCAUAUUUCAUACUCCCUUCGAUCUAAAAUAAGUGUCAUAGUUUUGAAAAGGGAGUAUUUAACUAGGUACCUGUAGAGAAGUAGGCUGGGAAACCACUGUCCCUCAGCAACCUGAACCUCAAGGCCGUGGAAGCAACAUCACCAUCAUCCCAGUUGCACCGGUGAGGUUUGUGGUGGACGGAGCUGAGGAUACCGGUGAUCUCCUCCUCGAAAUGGUAGGCGAUGCCGAGCCGUUGCACUGUGUCGACAAGCCUGAGCUUCGCAGCUUGGUGGUCGCCUCGGCUCGCCGGUGUUGAUAAAUGUACAGCUGAUAAAUGUACUUGAUCUGCCUGUCCGCCAUUGUUGGGCGAGAGCUGGAGGAGGGAGUCGUAAUCCCACGAGCUGGGGGCGUAGUUGGCAGAUCGCCGAGCAGCGCACCGUUGCCGGUGACGACCUCCGGAAGCUUGUGCUCGCCAUUGUUUGCUGUAAUUGCCACGCCAUGGUGCUGCGCGCUGCAAUCUACAGCUAGCUUUUGCUUGGUGCGUACUGGUGGAGUACUCCUUGGCACUUGGCAGCGAGAGCUAGGCAACGAGGUUAGUACUUCUAAGCUGUAGUAGCCAAUAAACUUACUGCUGUUUGCUGUUUGAGAGUUGCCAGAAUACGUGCCAAUUUAUGGGCACCCAGCAGCAUAGCUGACUCAGCCCGCAUGCAAAUCGUGGGACAUGACGCAUACCGAAUUGCUAGUACUAUUUCUUUUCAGCCACAUAUUUUUGUGGUGACAACAUUUCUUCUGGAGGCUAUUUUUUUACCCAGAUAUCCAACGAAUGUUAGAUUUUUAGGCAUGCAAAAAAUUAACCUUUUUCAUGGAAAUUUGUGUUUGUCGAGGAUGACAAGUUUAGUUGGUGAGCAUGACAAAUCCGCCUGAUUUCAUUUUUUGCCAGAAAAUAUCUGUGUUUGCAAAGUAAUUUUGCCAUCCUCACGCCAAUAUGAAUUACGAUGAAAAACAUUGAUUUGCGAUGGCUAAAAUCCGACUUUCCGUCUUUUUAGCAAAAUUCCGUACAAACCACUGAGAACUUACUAAUACUCAUUUUCCGAAACCAUGAUGGAAUUCAAAUCACGGAUGAAAAAUACACAAAGGGACCCCAUAAAAAAGCAUGGUCAGAAUUAAAAUCCAACGGACCGGCGUGCUCCAUUUUCAACUUCCCGAAGAAUUAAUUGUUCCUCUUCAAAUCAACAACGUGAACAAUUCUUCCUCCCUCCCUCAUCCCACUGGUCCAAUCGCCUACCCUUGUAAUCUGCAAUGGUACCCCGCAAGCCUAGCAGCCCUACCCUGCCUGAGCCGUCUCCUCCGACCAUCCCUCUAUACCGUCGCAAGAGCUAUGUCUCGCUUAUAGCGAGACGAUAGCUUCUCUUGCGGCGAGCGUGGAAGCUCCUCUCGCUGAAGGUGCUUGCCUAUAUAUGGGCCGACCCAUCAGUGUAGGUUCGCUGCUGCCGCUCCCGCGCUAUAGGUUCGGUCACUAUAGGUUUUCUCCAUUUUUUUCUUUCUAUUUUUCAUUUUCUUUUGUUUUUUGUUUGGUUUUAUUAUUUCUACUUGCUAUUCUUUUAUUAUUAUUAUUAUUAUUAUUAUUAUUAUUAUUAUAUUUCUUUUUUGUUUUUCUUUUGUUUUCUUUGGGUCUUCUUUGUUUCUUUCAUGGUUUUUAUCGCUUUUCUUUCUUUCUCAUUUUCCUUCUUUUUUUGGUUUUUGUUUAUUUCUUGGUUUUCAAUGCUCUUUUUUCUUUGUUUCUUUAUACGUUUUCACUGUUUUCCAUUCUUUCUUUUUUGUUUCUUGUUUCUUUGGUUCCUUUUGUUCUUUUUUGUCUUUCAUGGUUUUUUUUAAUUUUUUCUUUGUUCUUUUGAUUUUGAAUCUACAUUUUUCAUAUACGUCAAGUCCAUUUUUCUAAUACACAUUUAACAUAUUUCAAGUACAAGUUUAACAUUUUUUAAUACACGGUCAAAAUUUUUUCUAUACAUAUUUUAAACAUUUUUCAAAUUCUUAAGUAACAUUCUUCAAAUACAAGGUUAAUUUUUGAAUACAUGGUAAAAAAAUUAUAUACACAUUUAAUUUCUUUUGAAAUGCUUGACUACAUUUUUUAUAAACAGAAUACACAUUUUGUAAUACGUGGUCAACAUUUUUUCUAUACACAUUUAUCAUUCUUCAAAUUCUUGAUUAACAUUUUAUCAAAUGAAGAAUUAAUAUGUUUAUUAGUACAUGAUCAACAUUUUUUAUAUACAUUUAACAUUUUCAAAUGCUUGCUUAACAUUUUCAAAUACAAGUUCAGCAUUUUUUAAUACAACACAAAAUUAACUUUUUGUAAUACAUGGUCAACAUUGUUUCUAUACAAUUUUUUUUCAAAUGGUUGAUUAACAUAUUUCAAAUAUUUGUUUAACAUUUUUUAAAUGCUUGAUUAAUAUUUUUAAAUACGUGAUCAAGUUUUUCAUGCACGUUUAAUAUCUUCUGUAUACAUUUUUUCUUAGACAUGGCAAACAUUUUCUCUAUAUAGAUUUAAUAUUUUCAAACACUUUUUCUAGUUUUUUAUGCAUUUUCUGUAAUAUAUUAAUUUAUAGUAUUCAGGAGUAUAAACAAAAGUAAAAAAUAAAGAAAAAACGAAAUAAAAAAGCAUGAAAAAAACAAAGAAAUGAGGCCAUGGCGUCCAGCAUGCCUGGGCCGGUCCAUUUGGCACUCCCCACACACAAGACUUUCCUACGUCUCACUAUAAGCAAGAGACAGGUGCAUUCCUAUACCCCUCACAAUUUUGCCACCCACGACCUCCUCGCAACCCCGCACUCGAAUCCGCCAAACCUCCCAUUUGCUUCCACGCGUGACACCACGGCUAGAUGCAUCAUCGCCAACCUGACUAAGCCUGGUCAGGAUGACACGGUUGUCCUAGGCGUCUCGGCCUUGGGCACGGCCUCUUCUAUGCGGUAAAAUCGGCUGAAACAACAUAAAAAUUUCAGUUACUUGAUAUUUAGCGAAACUGAUAAACAAGUGGUUCCUGCUACUCCCUUCAUUCCUAAAUAUUUGUCUUUCUAGAGAUUUCAACAAGUGACUACAUACGGUGCAAAAUGAGUGAAUCUACACUUUAAAAUAUGUCUAUAUACAUCCGUAUAUUGAGUCCAUUUAAAAUGCCUAGAAAGACAAGUAUUUGGAAACGGAGGUAGUAGAUUUGAGGCUCACAUGCAUCCGUGUCGAACAAACAACGGACGUUCCAUUUCCAUUGUCGGCUAGCCUCGUACUAUGCAUGGAUCGUCGUUUACUGGUUGAGUUGUCCCUUCUCUUGCACACACGCGAGCCACAGCUAGCUAGCUAGAACAUGAUACACACAAUUAACUCGGCCCUUUCCAUUAGUUCCAUUAUUAUAUGUGGACUCUCGCACGUACGUACACGCGUACUCUCGGCGACUAUUCGACUUAAAGCGACUGCACGCUAUGCACGUACAAUCGUCGUUGCCUUCACUCGUCUCUUCACUGUCGAGCGGCAAUCUCGAUCGUGACUCGUCUAAAGGACAUGACUGUGACAACUGAUAUGGCACAGCUAGCUAGUGGAAAAGCUAAGGUUGGCCGUCAGUAAUCACUCUUUUUUUUCUUUGCGGGGGAGUAAUCACUGUUACUCCCUCCGUCCCUAAUAUUAAAACAUUUUUGCACCACUAGUGUUAAAAACGCUUACUUUGUUAGAGCAUCUACAACCAAACCUCUCAUACCCGUCUCAAACGCUCGGGCAGAUCGUCCGGUAACUCACAUGUCAAAAAGAUCGACCCAACCAGGCCUCUCAAACCGCGGACAAACGUCUGGGCUGAUCGGCACCUCUCAUAUCCAGCCCAAAUAUAGGACGGAUAUAGGGCAGCCCGGGCGCGUCCGCCUGACAAGCCCGGUCCAUCGUCGAGCCUACAACAGUCCCACAAAAAAACCCAAUCCAGGUGUGCAUCGUUCUGAACCCUAGCUCACUCUCUCUCGCUACGUCCUCUCUUCUCCCUCUCCGAUUCUGAUCCCAUCCACUAUGAUGUCCAGCUCCGGCAGCGACUCCGGCUUCGAGCUCGACUACGAGGAGGAGAUGGCCCUCCGCAUCGCGCUGUAGCUGCCCAAGGUGGAGACCAGCGGCAGCUCCAGAUCUGGAGCAUCGCCGCAGCUCCCGCGCCGGCGUAGCGCAGACGCCGGAGUUGGACCGUGUCGGCCUACGCGCAGCGAUGCCAGGGCAGCUCAGUCCACACCGCCCCCCCGCGCUGUCUCCUUCCCCCGCCAGCCGCUCUUCCACGCUGGCAGCGGUGGGUGCUAGUGCCCACGCCGCCGGCCUGCACGCGCACUCCAGAAUCGAAGGCGCGUGCCGCGCACUGCGAGAGGCAGCGUGCACGGGAGAGAGACGAGGUGGACCAGUCUGCGCACCGCCGCCGCGGGAUGAUCUACGUAGUUUAGUUCCACGUUGCAUGCUUAAUAUGGAUAUAGGAUACCGGGUAUGAGAUACACGGAUGUGGACAGCAUGAUUUGAGGAGUGCCCGGGUCAGUGCCCUCGAACGCGCCCGGGCGCGCCCGGGCGCGUUCAUGGACGUUUGAGGGCCCGUAUUUUCCCAUCGCAGUUGUAGAUGCUCUUGUAUUGCUUUAAUGUAAAGCGAAGCGAAAGACUAUGUUUCAAGAAGAGGAGAUAUUUCUCUUGGAUCAUAACGAUUUGGUGUGGUUCAUACGAGUACAAUUGGGGAAUUGCGAAUUCGAAUUGCUAGCUACUCCCUCACGUUACCCUAGCAGUUCUCCCAUACCAUCCCGUAUGGUACUAGACCCACUUAGGUUACUCGUUUCGGCACGUCAACUCCUUCCUCCGCCACAUUGCGCUUAUCGAGGUGACGAUGACAUUUUUUUCUAGCAUUUGUUUGGUAAGUAUGGCCCUUUGUCCUCGUUGCCUCCUUGUGAUUUGUGAGAGAUGGCCAUUGUGUUGUGCCCGAUCAUGUGUUGUGAUCCGGUGGUUGAGGAGAGGCCCUAUGUAGCCUUGCUUGUGAUGUACCAUCAGUUCAAAUUACUACUAUGCUAUGUGGGAUGCCAUAUUGCUUAUGUUGUAUAUGUAUUGUUAUGCUAAAUGUAACUUUUUUGAAUUUAUAAAUUUCCUUCAUUCCAUGAUUCAUGAUGCUACAUCACUAGCAUAUUGGUGUAUUAAUUUUCCAGUGUUGAUCCUAUCUUAAUUUGCCAUGUCACUAGAAUCUUGCUUUGCUUAGGAGAUAUUUGAGUAUUGGAUCAUCAUAAUUUUAGUUGUCGUCACAAAUUUCCUUCAAUCAUCAUCAUUACUAUCUAGAAAGUUUGUGACAUAGUAACUUCUACUGAUAUGUAUCAUGUGUUUCUAUUGUGCAAGAGUCAUAAACAAGGAUCAUACAAUAUAUCUAGAAAGUUCUUUCUCUUUUCCCUUAUUCCCUCCCAUAUGAUGUGGGUAGGUACUACUCUUAGUCUUCUCUCACAAUAAUUUAAGCGUACACAUGAAUUCUCCUUAAAACAAAAUCCCGAACCCUACAACAUAAAUUUGUUUUUUGUUGGCUAACACUGAUGCCCCCAUGUUAUUUUAUUUUUCUUCAUAAUUUUUCCAUAGAUGAUUGUUUUCAAUAUUGUGCAAACAGGGCGACCAAGAUCCUUUUUGCUAUGGUAACAUAUUGGUGUACUACAGGAAAUACAUUUUUUGGCAGAGUGUUUUGUGUAGUGCUAGUAAAAUUCCAUGGAGGAGAUGGUGUUGGAUUUUAGUGGCACUGUACAAUAAUAUCGCAAAACAUCAGAAGAUCACAUUGACUCGAAUUAGUAUGAAUAGCUUCGGUAUAUGCAUGCUUUCUCAACCUUGAGCAUGAUUUGGACAAAUUUCGAGGUGCUGUUUGUACGUCCACCCUUGUUAGCUAUUCCAAAUUACUUACAUUCAAUGAAUCCGCAUGUUAUAUUGACUGUUCAUAUUGAUUAUCUUAAUCUAUGUGCAAUAUGGGACUUAUAUUUUAGUAGCACUAUGCAUAAAAUAGAGCAUCAAUGGUGUUUCAACCUUACUGGUUAGAAUAAGGACCAAUGACUUUCGUCAUAUACUAUUAACCAACAAUCUAUACGAUGCAAAGGUAUAAUCAUUAGCUUUAAUUCUUUGUUUUAUAUUAAUGUAUAUAUUAUUGCUUAUUUGUCUUCUCAACAAGCAUAUAGGUAAGAUACGUUGGCUCUGACGGGCUAGCAUACUGCACCCCAUGGUAUGUUUCCCUCCCAUUGCUAGGUCAAAAAGAAGACACGGGAGUGCUAGACUCAAUCUACAAAAAAACGUGCUCCCUCCGUAAAGAAAUAUAAGAGCGUUUAUAUCACUACUUUAGUGAUCUAAAUGCUCUUAUAUUUCUUUUACAGAGGGAGUAUAGACACAACCAAGAAAUUAAAAAAAGCUGCCUUUUCAUUACAUAGGAUAACCUUUUAUAUUUAGAAGUUUGUUAGAUGUUGGCCACUAAGCUAGAUUUUAGACCAUGUCCAUGAUUUUUUUUCAUACAUGUCAUGAAAUCUUGACUUAAUAAUGUGGAUGUAAAUGUCUUAAGAUACGAUCUUAUACAUGCGAAUAUGCUAUGCUACAUGUGAUUGAAAUUCUAUGUAAAUGCGCGUUGAGUAUUUAUAUGAACUAGCACAGUGGCCCGCUCGUUGCGCGGGCUAGAAUGUUUAAGAGUUUAACAAUAUGGAUAUAUUAGUUGAUUUGUCUAAAGAAAAACUGAAAUCAUACUGAUGCCAUUUAUACAAAUAUAAGACGUCUCCGAUUAAAGGUUUGUGUUAUGUAUUUUUGAUACUGUUAUUUUUCCUAUAUAUACUAGUAUGUAUGCACGUUAACAUUAUUAUGGAGUGGUUUUUGGUUUAAAAAAACAUAGACUUGCCCAUAGAUUCAAGGCAAAAUGAAAAUAUCGUUUAUGUACGGAUGCAGAAAGAAAAUACAUUACAAAAAAGUAGGGGUUAAUAUAUGUAAUCCCCGUAAUUUGUUAAGAAAGAAAAUAAUUCAUAAAACUGCUUGCCGAAAUGUUUUAUAUUGUGGGAUGGAGAGAGUAUAACUUUACAGUAUAUUUCCUAUCUGAAAACAACUUUUCAUGGGCUCAACACGUCCUCAAACUGCAACAUGGGCCAAGAGGAAUCAAUAUGGGCCACUUAUUUUGAGAAGGAUGAGGCGAUCGUUCUGGAACAUUGUGGAUGGAGCAGCGGUGUACUGUUCAUGGCGAAUCUCACUCAUUUCAGCCGUUGGAUUUAGCACACGAAUGGCUAGGAUUGAUGAUCAUGCCCAAUUCAAAACUGGUACACUAUAAGCUACUGGUAAGCUGGUACGUGCAUAGCACGUGCAAAGUUUUAAUUCAUGUGUUUCGAUGGAAAUAAGUCUAAGGAAUCAGCUGUCUUUGUGUGUGUGUGUGUAAAGCUCUUGUGAUAAUUAUUAUAAUGUGAUAGUUUCAUUAAGCAGUAGUACUACAAUGGGGUUCAGAUGCACUUUAAUGGGAUAAUUUUUUAUGUAUUUUUUAGAGAAAAGGUUGGGCCCUGGCCUUUGCAUCAUUAAUUACUAUGCACAAAAGAUUGAGAAAAAGAUGCAUUUGAAGCUAGUGUAUGCUCUAAUCACAAGGCUACUUCUAAUGAGCUGCUAAUUCUGCCAUAUGAUGUAGUACAGUUCGGCCUAGUAAAUCUCAUGCAGUCUUUGGGACAGGCAGACGGCAUCGCCUGCGCAUCCAUUAAAAUACUCAUCUUAUUUCAGCUUCUAGAGCCAUCGUUCUGCCUACGCAAGGUCUUGCAAGUACUGUCGUCCAUGUGACCUACGGUGAAUGCCUCCGGAGGGCCUAGAAUUUUCAGGAACAAAGCGAGAUGAUACACUGGUACUGUAGAGGCGAAUCCCUUCAUUCUGAGCCAUAGGAUUGACCCUCAUCAACGGCUCAAGUUGCUUCUCAGGCUUAGGAUUCAAAAUUUCAAAACUCAUACACUAUAUAGUAGUAAAGAAAUAUGUAUGUUAUUACCCUUUUUUCAUUUCCCUUGUAAUCAUCCAUGCCAUACUCGUGUAAAUUUUAUUUGUAUAGUUUUUCUAGCAUUUUCAUAACUUGAGAGGGUAUCGUUUUUAGGGAGUUGAUUAUAUAUCGGAAUUAAACAUAUGAUUUCAUGGAUAUUCACAUUGUGCCAUAUAAAAUAGUUCAUUAUAUGACCGCUAAAAAUCAGUUUCCAAAUAAAUAUAACAUUCAUGGGUAAUGUCUCUAAAAGUUUGUAAAUCAUGGCUGAAUUACCAUUAUGCCAAUUUAAAAGGUAAUGUAUUAUUUAUGGCUGUGUGUAUUGUUUGAGCGUAGUGUAUGGUGUUAUGUGACGUAAGAUCAACAUGAAGCAUCAAUAUUAAAUUAUCGAUCAUUUGUGUUAGAUGCACAACUGCAAAUUUCUAUGUUCCCAAAUAAUGGCGUGAGUUUAGAAUAGCUGUCACAAUAUUUAUUUUAUCUUUUAAUGGAAUAAAAAAUAAACAUCUGAAUGAAGCGAAUAUAAAAUAGUUUAUCCACAUAGAUAGGGCAACUAAACAAUGAAAAUAACCAUUUUAAUUACCUUUUCAAGUGUCACAAACAGCCAUAGAGAUUGUACACUUUGUGACCUUACGUAUCAAACAGCUAUGGUUGUUUUGCCUUGUAAUUCCUAGACACUAUCCCUAGGAAUAAUCGAUGUGUUUUAGUUUUUGUACAUCUGUCACCGUAUUUUUUCCCUCAUAAGAAUAACAUGUGUAGUCUUUAGUGAACCGUUUCUUUAAAUAAUACUUUUGAUAAUGUUUUCAUAUAUUUUUACACUUUAUUAUACUUAGUAAUAAUGUUGUCAUCCGGUUAGAGUCAUUCAUGCCUACAUGUAGCACAGUUUAUAUUUGAUAACCUACAUGGUAAUUAUUUUGUAUGGAGACCAAACAUUUUUUUCUUCAAAUAUUAGAUUAGUACACAUAAGUAAUUUUUGGUUAUGAGCUCAGAGUUCAUUUGUUCAUACAUAUUUAGUUCUAUAGUUAUCAGUGCAUCUAAGUAAAGCUCAAAAUGUGACCUAGAUAAUUUGUCCUUUGUAUAGUGUCAUGACGUAUAAUUAUGAGUAAAAAUUUAAAAUUGUGCCGUGAACAAAUUGAUGGGCCAAAUCAAAGUUUAAAAAAUACUGAUACAUGACCAAUAAAUCAAAUUUUAAAUUCAAUCCGCCAGCCACUAAAUCCAGAUACAUUUAAGAUAUCAAAAAUGUUAUAAUAUAAAAAUUAAUCCACCAGCCACCAAAAAAUGUUCCAUUGCUUUUUUACAAUCUCAAAAAUGUUCCAGUGUGUAACUAACUACGUCAAAUUCUAAAUAAAAUUGUAGAGCUGCCUAAUUUUUAUAAUUGAAUCAUAUAUAAGCAUGUUGUGGAUGAUCAUGUAUGUGUUGGUUUUCUGGGAUCGAUUGUACGGGAACGCUCACACACAUGCCUCAUAGCGCGACUAACUCUGAAGCAUGUGAUUGCAUCAUACACAACAUUCAAGUCAUCACACAGUAGCACAAUAUUUUUUAGUUAAUUAUCAUGUAUGUAUUUGUGAAGGUAUACAUAUAUGCACCUUUGUGUAAUUUUAUUUUUAUACGGAGGGAACGUGCAUGCCAUACAAAAAAAUGGGACGUGCAUGUCCUUCUUUUCAUGUAGCUGGCCAUCCUUUCUUUCCUCAAGGGCAGCACAUUAAUUAGCUUUUUUCCACCAAGAGUUUAGUUUAUUUUGGACAGCUAAUUUGCUGGUUCAUUCACGCUAGAGGCUAUGGGAUAGUUCAAAUUUGUUUUUGUUUCUUUUCUAUUGCUAUACGUGGGAAGCAGUACCAAAUAUAUUUUUUAUUUUCUAUUGCUAUACAUUAGAGGCUGUACCAAAUAUAUUUUUCCUUGACAUAUGUCACGUAAUUCCUCUUAGGCCCACCAUUUUACAUAUAUUGAACGGUCACGUAGUAUUAAUUUUAAUAGUUUUGAAAGAUCAAGGGCUAGUAUUUUCUGAUUAACGUGGAAUUUUCUAGCCGAUUUUAGUUGCUUCUAGUUCACCUUAUAAUACUUUUAAUAUAUAAUAGAAUGAUAUACCUGGUGCCUAAAAAACAUAUAUGAGUUGUAUAAAAAUGCUUGAAUUGAACUACCAUUUCCUUCUGCUCCUCGUUGGGUUCGACACUCUUACUUAUCCAAAGGACUACUAUUGAUCCCCUAUAUUUGUGGGUCAUCGCGCGUGCGCACGCACGCACGCCAAAUAACUGGAGUUAGAUUGUAAUUGAAGUGUUGUAGAUGGCUUGUAAAGAUGUGCUUGGAUAUACAAAAUGGGGUCAGCCUAAAUCCAUGUGAAUAUAUGGAAAGACAAGAAGAACCAGAAACAUUCUCGGCUGGUAAACACUUUAUAUUCAGACCAUAAAUUUCCCAACCACCAAGAAACAUACAACGAUUACAUCCCAUGUUAUUCUUAAACAUAUCAUAUCUACUAUACAAUCAAAGUUGUUAAGACAUAAACAUUCUUCAGGGUUUUGACUAUUUAUUGUUUCUCAUUGUUGAUAGGCGCCAAGAACAAUUCUCUGAUUUGCCUUUUCUUCUGAUAAUCCGGUUCCCCAAAACCAUCCCCAUCUCGGUAAACACAAUGCGAAAUUCGGGCCAAAUUUACACAAGUCUUGGCAAAAUGUCUAGAAAAUUUAUAAUGUUCGAAGGCGUCUAUGUUAAUUGACUUCCAAGCAUCCAUUAUAAGGUCUUCCAUGGCAUCACGGAAAUCUUUCUCACCAGAGUUAUUCUCUGACAUGUGGAUAGCUAUCGAAGAUGGUACAUCCCCUCUCUCUAGCUCGGCCUGUUAUGCACACAAGACAAGUGGAGAUAAAUGUCAUGAGAUCUUACAGAAAGAUUCAAAUCCGGUGAUCAAACUUGCAAAAAGGAUUGGUCGAUUGCCCUUACAGAGUGUGUCGCAGAGUCGUUGCAAAGUCGAACUAUUAAUGACACAGAAUGAACUAAUCUCGUGUAUCUUCCAACUUUAUCAGGAGAUUCUGAGGUGAGUUUUCCUUCCAUGCCGAGUAGGGGAAACACAUGUUGUAGCAGCAGAGGCCCAGUGGACGUAACUGAUCCAUUAUUGAGGUACCCUUGAAGUGUUGGUUUGUGGUUUCCAUGGUGCCACUUUGCCUCCACUAGGUAUGACUCGGUCACAUCAUGCCACUGCCAUUUAUGUAGAAUUUAUGACAGUCCUUUUAGUGGACAUAUCUAUACCCUAUUAGGAAGUGAAAUUAAGUAUAUAUGAACAUACCGAUUUUUGAAGGACACGACGAGCAUCAAAACCAUGUUGUUUUAACACAUUUUCAGCCACCUCACAUGAUGUGUUGUACAUAACGGCGUAGAGUGCUUUCAUGUAUUCAGGGAGUCGUUCAUCGGGACUUUCUUCCCAUCUGACAAUAUUAUUUGAGAACUUUUUAGAUAAUUUCAAAGCUCCAUUCAAGAUGAAAUUUUUGCUUUGUUUUGCAUUCAAGGCGAAACUAUCGUGUCUUGUGUACACAUGCUAGUCUAUGAUAAGAAGAUUAUUUCAAUGACGAUAAGAAAAUUAUUUCAGUGAUUAAUCUUGCUAAAUUCUGUAUCUUUCCUUUUUAGCUGCAUGCAUUUGUUGAAAAAGUACAACCACAUAUAUUUUACCUUCUAAUGGCAUCAGUGGACAGGACGAGUUCAUCAAGAGUUCAAUACACAUCAUAAACAUCAUCCAACUGAACUGCUAGAUAAAUGACUUUAGCAAGAACUUCCCGACAUGCUCCGUCGUUUGGCUCCCACACUAUUCCAUUUGCGUAAUGGUAGCACUCCAUGAGACGGUCCCUCGCAAACCCCAAUUUUUACCAAGGGCAAUAUCCUCCCUCCACCUACAAUUAAGCCAAUGUUUACUAUCUUAAAGGACUUCAAGUAAUUAUAUAUAUGCAAUGAGAUGCAAGAAGUUCUUUUAGACAAUAAAAUAUAGAUAUAACUCCUAGACUCUGCAUGACAGGAUGCACACAAUCCAUCUACUAUGGGGAGUAAUUAGCGAGGUUUAAUUUAAUUGUAGGUUUCUUCAAGCUUAAUUACCUCACGAGUCUCACAAGUUCUUGCUGACGGACACUUUGCACAUGGUUAAAGUGCAUCGUUGCGAAUCCAAGGAGUAACGGAUCAGAAUUGCUCACGUCGCUAGCAUAGUGAUCUAUGAACCAUCUUGCUUUUCUAGUCUAGGAGACCUCCGGUGCAAUGGGAGAUCCAAGGCAUGAACCACACUGCGUUGUAAGCGGGGUUCCAUGGACGGCAAGAGUUCUCUAAGAGCAUUUACAGAAAAUGCUUUUGCCUCGUCUAAUGUUUCCUCGCCUCCAAAUGCAAGGUAUGAAGCCUCAUAGACUGAGAGGAGUCCCUUCACAUCAUUUUUCAGACAUUCUACAUAUAUUGAUACCAUGAAAUAAUAUCAGUUAAGUACAAGAAAACAUACAACAUUCUGAAGGCUACAAGUGCACAUGUGUGGACUUUAAUUUAGUGAUCGACUAUAUAUGUAGACGUCUCAGAUAGCAGAAAUCAUAUUGCUUAGAGCAUCUUCAACAGGCGCGCCAAACUAGCGCCGCGCCGCAAAAUCCCCCCUUUUAGCGCGCGCGCAACCGGAAUAGUUGCUCCAGCGGGCGCGCGAAAACCGCGCGUGCGGCAUACGUAGUCCAGCGCACGGGCCGAAACGCAAUCGCGCGCCGCUUAUUUGCUGCGCCCGCUCCCGCGCGCUGGACUCUCGCGCGCUCGCGCGCUCGCUCGCACCUCCCACCCCCCUCCAGCCGCGCCGCCGCCACCGACCGCGCCACCCGGCGACCGUUCCGGCGCUUCCCCAGCCUAUCCCCGCCCCGCGCGCGCUUUCUCCGGCGCCCCUCUAGUCCCGCCGCCCCGCGCGCGUGCUAGUCCUCCGACGAACAGCGCCCGCGCGCUCGCUGCCGCUCGGCGCCCGCAAGGUGUUCAACAAAACGCCUAGAAGGUAUGUAUUGCUCAAAAGCCAUGAAUUUCGUGCAUGCUGAUUGUAGUUUUGUAUUUAUAGCAUAGUAUUCAACACUGUAGAUGAGUUCGUCGUAUGAUUCUUCCUAAGAAGAAUUUGAUAUGGAAGAGGAGGAGGAUCUUGCAAUGAUCCUAGCUAUGCAUAUUAAUAAAAAACCGAAGCACGGUGGUUCGGUUAUGGGUCGUCAAAAAAUUUGGAGGGAUAGGAUCGAUGCCACAACAGAUUGAUCAGGCAUUAGUUUGCGGAGAAUCCCACAUACCCCGAGUCGUAUUUUCGUCGCCGGUUUAGGAUGAGCACCGAGUUGUUCAGGCGCAUUGCAGAGAAACUAGCGAGCCAUGACCGCUUUUUUCAGCAAAGGAGGAAUGCCAUCGGAGAGCUCGGGCAUAGCACCUUUCAGAAGGUGACAGCCGCUUUGCGUAUGUUGGCAUACGAUAUACCGGCUGAUCUAGCUGAUGAUCACUUGGCUAUGGGUGAGAGCCAAGCCAUCAUGUGUGUCAAACGCUUCGCAGUCGGAAUUGUGCAAGUGUUUGGCGAGGAGUAUUUGAGAUCUCCCAACGCUGAAGACGUCGCAAGGCUUUUAGCGAUGAACAAAGCUCGCGGUUUUUCUGGCAUGCUUGGCUCAAUAGAUUGCAUGCAUUGGACUUGAAAGAAUUGUCCAAAGGCAUGGCAUGGGCAAUUCCACGGCCAAAAAAAGGUUUCCACUAUAAUCCUUGAAGCGGUGGCCGAUCAAGAGACUUGGAUUUGGCAUGCAUUCUUUGGAAUGCCUGGAUCUUUGAAUGGCAUCAAUCUUGUCAACCGGUCACCACUGACGAGUAAGAUUGCAAAUGAGGAGUUGCCACCGGUGCAGUUUGUAGCAAAUGGCCGUACAUACAACUAUGGCUAUUAUCUAGCGGAUGGCAUCUAUCCAAAGUGGCAAACCUUUGUCAAGCCGUUGAAAAAGCCAGAAGGUAAGAAAAAUCUUGAUUUCCACAAUACUCAGGCGGCGGCUAGAAAAGAUGUGGAGAGAGCUUUUGGGAUUUUGCAAGCCCAAUUUGCUAUUGUGAGAGGACCGGCUAGAUUUUGGGAUCAGAAAAUGCUUUGGUACAUAAUGCACGCUUGUGUGAUCAUGCACAACAUGAUCAUCGAGAAUGAGCGUGGCCAAGAUGUAGACUACUCUCAGUAUGAGCUCUUGGGACAUUCCGAGCGAGUGCGACGGAGGGCUGAAAGGGUGGCCCGUUUUGUUGCCUCCUAUCAUGCCAUUCGACGUCUCGCAGCGCAUAAUGAUCUUCAGAAGGAUCUCAUUGAGUGGUGGACAUGGAAUGGACGACAAAGAGCAUCAUGAUUUGUGCGUUCGUUUAUUGUAUUAUUGAACUAUUUGUUGUGUUUAAUUGCACUAUUUGUUGUAUUGAACGAUAAAAACUGUUUGUUUGAGUUGUAAUAAACGAAAUUGAACUAUUUAUUUUUGUUUGUUUUGAUCUGUUUUACUUCUGUUUUCGAAUGCAUAUGUUGUUUGUGCGAGUCGCGCGCGCUGCUGGAGCGGCGCGCGCGCUGCAUUUUAGCGCGGCUGCUGGAGCCAGCGCUGCGCGCCGCGCCAAACCAAGCGAUACGCGCGCGGCAUAUCUGUUUUUUGCGCGCGGCGCGACCGGCGCCGGUUGGAGACGCUGUUAGUAAAUGGAACGGGCCCAAUAGCACUGUCCAACAUCUAUCGGGGUAUGUAGCAUUGGAGUACUACGUGCAGGGAAGUGGACUGGGAAGCCACUCUCCCUGAGCAACCUGAAUCUCAAGGCCGCGGAAGCAACGUCAUCAUCAUCAUCAUCACGGCUCCAAUGAUGAUUUUUUGCACUAUGGAUAGUGGUGAGGAUGUCGGUGAUCUCGUCGUCGAAGUGGUAGGCGAUACCGAGCCGUUGCAGUGUGUCGACGAGCCUGAGCUUUGCAGGUUGGUCGUCACCUCCGCUCACCACCAUCAGCCGCUCCCUCACUUCGGCCUUCAACUUAUCGAAGCUCCUAGCUCGCAACCCAUCCAAGCGUGCACGUAACUAAUUGGCAUAAGUAUUUUCAUCAGCUAAUAUAUAUAGUGGAUCUAUUUGUGCUGUAUUAUGAGACGAUAAUCACCUGAUCAUGGGUGUCAUGUCUGCGAUCGUCGAGCGAAAGCAGGAGGGAGUCGUAGUCCCAGGAGCUGGGAGCGUAGUUUGCUGACCGGCGAGCCGGCGGAGUCGAGGACGACGAGGAGGAGGUGCAGCGCACUGCUUUCCGCAGCGGCGAGGUCGGCCAGAGGCAUUUGCUUGACGUGGCCAUAGUUGGCUGAAAGUGCCACGUCAUGGUGCUGCAAAACAUAACUAAGUUCGCUUGGUGCGUUAGCAACUGCUGGUUGUUAUUUGAAUGCCAGCCAAUUUAAAGGCAAGCGAGCUAGCCUUGCUGGCCUUGCCCGCGUGAAAAUUGUGAGACAAACUGUUUUCAACGACAGCUUAAGUCCGAUUGCAAAUACCAACUUGAACACCUUCCUCAUCAGUACGUUAUUUUGUCGCAUUGACAGGUACAAUGAAAUAGUUUAGACGACUGAUAUCUGUUGGAGUAAUCCAAACAUACGGUGUUAGUAAGGGCUAGUACUGUUGCGAUCAGGCUCGCCGGUGAUUAGAUUAGGUAAAUUGAGUUAGUACUAGAUGAAGCAGCUUGUGCUACGUGUGUUUGUCCGAGCGAGUUUUGGUUAGUCUCGUAAGCGUCAGUUCGGUUAGGAGUCCAGUCGUUGUAUUAGAGUAGGACUAGUCUGAGUCCGGUUAGCUUUGCUAGUAUGUGUCCGUAUAGAUUAGGAAUUUUGAGUUCAGGUUGGUGGCGUGGAGUUAGGUCCUGCAUCUAUAUAUAGAUGGGCAGGUGCGUGAGAUUUGUAACACCAAAGAGAAAACCUUAAAAGAAAUAAAGAGAAAAUAAGGGCACGACAAGGGCCCUUGGCUAUCAAUAUUCAUGUGUGCGUGUUCGUCUAGUUUGAUGUGAUCAAUCCUGUGGGUGAAUUUCCAAUAAUUGGUAUCUAGAGCAAGGUCGAUUUGAAGCUGCGCUUGUCCCGGGGUGGCGACCCGACUAGCACCUCGGGAUGGGCAAUACAGUCGCUAGUGUAGCGACGAAGAGCGGCAGACGAUUUAGUCGUUGGGUGGUGCAGCGACGAGGAGGAUCGGGCGAUACAGUCGUUGGUGUAGCGACAACUAGAAGCGGGCGAUAUAGUUGCUGGGAUGCAGCGGCGAGAAAGAGUGGGCAAUAGUCGUUCGAGCAACGACGUGGAGGAUCGGAUGGUUGUCAUUCGGCGGAGUGUUGAUGAGAAGGCAGUAAGGACGUUGUCGCAAGCAAGGCGGCGGUUGAUUGUCAGUGGGCGAAUUUCCAACAAUAUCUCCAUCCCGAAGAAGAAUCUAUGUUGUACGAAUCUAUCUAAAUACAUAUUAUAUUACUGAACUAAAAGACAAAAAAUACUAUUAAGCCGCGCUUGGACCUCGUUUUCCAGCCGAUAUACACCUAUAAAAUAGGGAAAACAUUCGGCCGGUCGCGGCUGACCAUACAUGGUCCCAUGGGACCUAUGCUUUGAAAGCGACGUAUGGCUGGGAUCCAGCCUUAUCUAAUUGUACGAGACCCAUGCAUGGCUAGCUACUUCCUUAUCUUCUUCCUCCCUUGUUUCUCUAACCAUCCAUUCCUUUCCACAUGUUUUCCACAUGUCUCUGAUCCAUUGCUCUCUCACCAUCUCUUUGCAAAUGUCCAUGGCAUCUUGGUUGUCGCAAAACACAGCAACUAGGCGGGGCAAAAAGCUGCAACCCCUAGCUGGAGGUGUUGGAACCGACUGGGCGAAAAGCUACAACCCUUAAUUGAAGGUGCUGGAAACAGCAGAAGCUACAACGGGCAACAUCGACUGGGAAGCUGCGACCAACUGGGCAAAAAGCUACAACCCCAGGCGAAGGUGCUAGAAACGGCCAUCUGGGAAGCUGCAAUGUGGCCAUGGUGACCCGUGAUAUGACUCGUGCAACCGGCGGUGACCCAUGUUACAACCGUGCCCUCGCAGAGCUACAACCAGCGGCGACCUGUGCUACGCUCGUUUUGGCGAAAGCUACAACCAGAGGCAAUAGAGCCCCAACCAGCGGCUAACCGUGCUACAACCGUCCUUGGCAAAAGCUGCAACCGGCCAUCGUGUUUGCUACGAGUGUUUCCGAAGACCCUACCAUGAAGACCUGACGCCCACAAAAGAUGCUACGACAGGCACCACAGGAUGCUGCAACCAGCCACCAAGUUUGCUACAAAUGUGCCUUGCGACCCUACGAUGAUCACAAUGAUGCCGGAGGAACGGCGAUGACCUCGUGCUGCGACAAACCACUAGUGCAGAAUUGGGCUUUAGCGCCGGUUCGUAAGGGCCUUUAGUGCCGGUUCUAUAACCGACACUAAAGGGUGGGGACUAAAGCCCCCCCCCCCCCUUUAGUACUGGUUCGCCACGAACCGGCGCUAAAGUGCCACCACGUGGCACGAGACAGGCCCGGGUGCGGGUAGACCAUUAGUACCGGUUGGUAACACCAACCGGUACUAAAUGUUUGGGGGGUUUGGUUUUAUUUUUUAUUUUUCCUUUAAUUUUGUGUUUCCAAUUUAAUUUUAGUGAUUGUUUUACAUUAUAAUGAGUUGUUAAAUCAUUAGGUGAAAGUAUCACAGAUUAGCUUCGAUAGGUUGAAACUAAUCCGUGUUUUCUUUCAUAAAUGAUAUAAUAACUCAUCAUCAUCAUCAUCAUAUUAAUACAAAAACUCUUGCAUCAUAUAUAUCAUCACCAACAACAGUAUACUAGCUACUAAAAAUCAUUAUAGUCGCCAUUACCACUAUUUAAUCAUCAUAGUCAUUACCGCUAUCUAAUCAGCACCAACACUAGCGUAAAGAAGAAACAUUCAUUUGUACCAGAAGCAAAGAUAUCAUCGAGUUCAACAUGGUCAUGAUAUUAUAAGUGUGCAUAACAUCACAAAAGCAAAUCACUCUUUGAGAUUAAUCAAGUUCAGGAUGAAGAACACACACAUGAGAGGACAAGUACUAAUUAAGAGCAUGAACUAGCUAAUAAUCACUCCUGCUGCUCUCUCUCAGGUAAAAUAGCAUAGAACAUGGAUAGCUCUCCUGAUCAUUAUAUUGGAGCAUGCAGAUGAACCUGUCUCCUAAUUGGGGGCUGCGCUUCUGUUUGCUGCCCCCUAGUACUUCUCUGCGAUCAUUAACAAUUUGGCUCCAAUAUUUCACUAUUAAGCAUUCCUCGCUAUUAGAAUUCCUGAAUGCAAUCAUGUGCAUUGUAGGAUAUCUUGGCCGUAAGCUAACCAUUGACAUGCGACCUUUAGUACCGAUCCAUUGAGGCACAACUGUCAUCGGGAGUCCCUGUUUAAGAACAUCAUAUAGUAACAUUACUUAGCAAUGAAGUUUAGCUUGAAAAAUAAUGUAUGCAAAAGAUGCACUGAGGACAAAUAGUAAUUUUUUUACCAUCUUUCCUAAAUAGAUGUGACCGUAGCUCAAUACGAUCACUAUUGGUCGCACGUUUUGAGUACUAAGAUUUUCAAAUUCAGGAAAAUAAUUUCUCUUGACAGCAUCAAGAUCCUCAAGCCAUGAAACAUAAUGACUUAUCUCCUCGCAGUUUAGUUCAGCCCCGUGACAGUGGACGGUCCUGUCUACCAAGCGCGAGACAUGUUUGCUUGAAUGGAAAUAAGCUGUCAAUAGAAAUUAGUUAUCAACUAUUUUUGAAUAAGCAAUAUCGAAGACAUAAAUAUGGUUGAGAAACUCACAUAAUGGUAGAACUGGAGGCGUCUGCACAUCGACCCAGAUGUCUCUAUUACCUUCAAUAUCAUCUUCCGAAGGAAUAUCAAAGGUGAUAACCAUAUCAGGCUCAAAUGCAUAAGCCUUGCAUAGUGCUUGCCAAGUUUUGCAUUCCAAAUAGGUGUAUGUUUCUGCAUUGUAUAAUAUGACGUUGAAAGUAUAACCAUGCUCGGUCUUCAGGUAAACUAUCUUUACCUCCAUAGUUUCCAUAGCACUGAAACCUAUCUUAUCCAAGACAAAAAUUCUUGCAUGGCAAGGGAUGCACUAGUAGAAUAGUGAAAAUUUAAAAUUAUAAGUUGAAGCAAAUGAAGCAUAAGUCAUGCUUAAUUACGAAAAAAGACUUGUCGUUGUGACUUACUGUAUCCACUUCGAAGGUCUCAUCCAGCUUGAUGCUGAAGCGCCUAUCAUCAACAACAAAAUUUCUGUCACACGGGCCGCGCUGGUCUUCACAGUAUUCGCACAUAAUGAAAUCCUUUUCGUCGUCAAACGAUAUUUCCUAUGUUCACAUAGGUGAAACAUUAAACACUUACUAGUUUUAUUAAUUCAACUAAUUCAACUACCUCUAUUAAUUCAACUAAUUCAACUAAGCAUUUACUAAAAAUAGACUAGUUCUAUUAAUUUUCCAAUUAAAAUAAAAUAGCUAGUUCUAUAUAGUAANNNNNNNNNNNNNNNNNNNNNNNNNNNNNNNNNNNNNNNNNNNNNNNNNNNNNNNNNNNNNNNNNNNNNNNNNNNNNNNNNNNNNNNNNNNNNNNNNNNNNNNNNNNNNNNNNNNNNNNNNNNNNNNNNNNNNNNNNNNNNNNNNNNNNNNNNNNNNNNNNNNNNNNNNNNNNNNNNNNNNNNNNNNNNNNNNNNNNNNNNNNNNNNNNNNNNNNNNNNNNNNNNNNNNNNNNNNNNNNNNNNNNNNNNNNNNNNNNNNNNNNNNNNNNNNNNNNNNNNNNNNNNNNNNNNNNNNNNNNNNNNNNNNNNNNNNNNNNNNNNNNNNNNNNNNNNNNNNNNNNNNNNNNNNNNNNNNNNNNNNNNNNNNNNNNNNNNNNNNNNNNNNNNNNNNNNNNNNNNNNNNNNNNNNNNNNNNNNNNNNNNNNNNNNNNNNNNNNNNNNNNNNNNNNNNNNNNNNNNNNNNNNNNNNNNNNNNNNNNNNNNNNNNNNNNNNNNNNNNNNNNNNNNNNNNNNNNNNNNNNNNNNNNNNNNNNNNNNNNNNNNNNNNNNNNNNNNNNNNNNNNNNNNNNNNNNNNNNNNNNNNNNNNNNNNNNNNNNNNNNNNNNNNNNNNNNNNNNNNNNNNNNNNNNNNNNNNNNNNNNNNNNNNNNNNNNNNNNNNNNNNUGCGGCGGGCAAGACGGCGACGCGACGGGGACGGCGCGAUGAGCGGCGAGCCGGGGGCGACGGCGCGAGAAGACGACGUACGGGGCGGCGACGCGAGACGGCGAUGUACGGGGUGGCGGCGCGAGACGGCGACGACGGGGGCGGCGACGGUGCGCGGCGGGGGCGGCGAGGGCGAGACACAACGUGUGAUGGGCAACGGCGUGGCGGCGGCGGCGAUGUCGCGCGAAGCAGUUGAAGAAGAAGUGGGGAGAUGAAACUGAAUUUUUCAUAAGUGUUAUAUAUAUAGGAGGGGCCUUUAGUACCGGUUGGAGCCAUCAACCGGUACUAAAGGCCAAUUUUGGCCAGGUCAAGCAGCGGGAAGCGGCCCCCUUUAGUAUCGGUUCGUGGCUCCAACCGGUACUAAAGGGUGGCAUUUAGUACUGGUUGGAGCCAUGAACCGGUAAUAAAGGGGUGUGCUACGGUGCGUAAAGUUUAGUCCCACCUCGCCGGGCGAAGGGCAGCCGCAAUGGUUUAUAAACCCAACCGCGGCUGCUCUAUCGAACUCCUCUGUAAAUUAGGCUUCUGGGCCUAACUAUGGAGCGCUGUCAUGUGAGCCUGCUGUCCCCUGUGGGCCUGAAUUUACAUGCUCAAGGCCUAGCAGGCCCACUAGACAGCGCCCCAACAAUUUUUUAUAUAGUUUUUUCUUUUCUACUUUAUUUAUUUUCUUCUAUUUGUUUCUGAGUAGGUUUUUUUACAUAGUUUUUUUCUUUUCUGCUUUAUUUAUUUUUUUCUAUUUAUUUCUGAGUAGUUUUUUAUAUAGUCUUUUUCUUUUCUGCUUUAUUUAUUUUCUUCUAUUUAUUUCUGAGUAGUUUUUUAUAUAGUUUUUUCUUUUCUGCUUUAUUUAUUUCUGUGUAGUUUUUUAUAUAAUUUUUUCUUUUCUGCUUUAUUUAUUUUCUUCUAUUUAUUUCUGAGUAGUUUGAAAGAGAGUUUUCGUCCGAAACCCUGUUAGUUCGAGAGAGAGAGUGUCUAGUUUGUACACGAAGUGCAUCCAAUUCUUGCCGUAACCCUCUCUACUCUUUUGCACAUGCUAUGUGGGUGAAAUGAUGAUACUAUGCCAAGUUUCAACAUUUUCAGAGUUCAUUUUGUAGUGAUUUUUAAUUUCACGGUCAUUUAGCUCUCUAAACAAAUCGGUAAAUGACUGAAAAAUAUCAAAUGAUGUUAGAAAGUGUCGAAAAUUGAUGACGUUGCUUUGAAUGGUGCAUACCGAACACAAAAAAGUCUGGAGUUCAAAUAAGUUUUUUAAAAAGUGCCCGUUUAACAGAUGAGUUCUCGUUCGAAACCUUGAUACUCCGAAAGAGAUUGUCCAGUUUGUAUACUGUCAGGACCCCGAUCCCAAGUCACAUCGAUCUAGCCGGUAACACCUCAUAUCACUUUGCGGCCUCACGCACAGUAUUCACGCGGGUGUCGCCUUACCAUGGCCCGGGACCGUCUGCGCCUUUUGGCUCACGUAUAUGAUAGUGUUGCUAGCAUCCAUAUGACAGAGAACCCGGGCCGACAUGGCUAGUCGUGAACCCAAAGCGGCACUAACCUAUGGGGACAGGCAUACAUGAAUCACAUCGAGCAUGUCGGUCAGCAACGUGUGAAUCCGGGCUGUAGCACUGGGCUAACAGGACUCCGGGAACCCGGGCUGAAGCAGGCUAGGCAGGACUCCGGAUGUCACCACGUGACAUUUCCCCGAAGCGAUAGACACACAAAUGAAGUGAAACACAUGUCGGCCAGUCAAGUGUCCUGAGCAGUAGUGUUGGGCUAACAGGACUCCGGUGAACCGGGCUGUAGCGGACUACUAUGGCUCAUGGAAGCACUAGACUACAUUUCCCUAUAAGAGAGGCUGCCAAGGAUAAACAACUAGAUUGUCGGAUCCCACACAUACCAAGCAUUUCAAUCAUACACACAAUAUGCUCGAUAUGUGUAAAUACAACAUGGCAUCACAACAUAACUCUACAACUCAAGUAUUUAUUCAUUAGGCUCCGAGGAGCGAGAUAUUACAAACAUGGGUCUCAUGACCCAACAAUCAUAGCAUACAAAUCAAAGCACAUGCAGAAGCUUAACAUGUCUGAGUACAUACAUCUACAAAUGAAAAAGGCUAAGAAGCCUGACUAUCUACCAUAUCCUGCCGAGGGCACAAGAUCGUAGCUGAGGUAUCAAGCUAAACGUCGAAGUCCACAUGGAACUACUAGCGAGACUGACGUCUCUCUGCAAAACAUAAAAUAGGCAAACGUGAGUACAAAUGUACCCAACAAGACUUACAUCAGAACUAUCUACAUAUGCAUCGGUAUCAAUAAAGGGGGUGGUGGAGUUUAACUGCAGCAAGCCAGCUUUGACUCAGUGGCUAACCUGAACUACGACUGCAAGCAACUCUUCUGAGGUGGCGCACACGAGUCUACAUAUUCACCAUUCAAUACACCACUAUGGAUCCGCUCCCGUCUCCCUACGAGAAGGCCAUCCAUAGCACUCACACUUAUCUUGCGAGGUUUAGAGUAUCCACUUUCACUUGUCUAUGAAGUGUUAUAGGCAACCCAGAAGUCCUUUACCGCGGACACGGCUAUUCGAAUAGAUCAUCUAUAACCCUGCAGGGGUGUACUUCUUCACACACGCUCUCGAAACUUACCACCAUGUACACGUCGUGUAUCUCGGCAACCUUCAAGCGGAAGCCUGGCGAGGGAGUCGGCCACGACCUGACUAACCACACAAGUCUCUAGUCUAGGUUUAUCGCCUAUUCGGGUUCCAUCCGCAAGGAGAUCUGGCCGGAGUUUCGCUCACACCCCCAAACGUUGUGUGCAGGGUUCCCGAGACACCAAACGGGCGCCCGGUACACCGUGCCACGGUGUAUCUACCGCAUCAUAGCCCACCCCUAGGGUCAGCGCUACGUACGGCCGCCAACACAUAUCCUACAAACACCAGAAACUAGUUGCAACUCCUGGACAGAGGACAAGGGAAGUUAAUAAGUCGAGAGGGUCCAUUGGUUUCGGGCCCAAUGCGUGGUAGUAGCUGUUCAUGGAUCACAAACACAGAACUCAGUUCCUAAGGACGGUUUCAAUGAGACAACCCACCAUGUACUCCUACAUGGCCUCUCACCGCUACCUUUACCAAAUCGUGUUCACACACUUAGCUGACACACAGUAGGACAUGUUCACACACCAUUCCAAUUGAUUCCCAAUGAAUCAGACCCGACACAACUCUAUGCAAUAGCAGGCAUGACAAACAAGCAUGAAUGAGUAGGCACAUCAGGGCUCAAACAACUCCUACUCAUGCUAGUGGGUUUCAUCUAUUUACUGUGGCAAUGACAGGUCAUGCAGAGGAAAGGGGUUCAACUACCGCAGCAUGUAACAGUUGAAUUGUUGUUGUCCUAAUGCAGUAAAAGAGAGCAGGAGCGAGAGAGUGGGAUUGUAUCGAAAUGAACAAGGGGGUUUUGCUUGCCUGGCACUUCUGAAGAUAUUAUAGCUCUUCAUCGGUGUCAUCGAACUCAUCGUCGGGAGCACGUCUAUCGAGAGGGGACAAAUACCGGCAAUAGAGAAGGAAAACACAAUCAAUGCAAUGCACAAUAUGAUGCAUGAUCAUGACAUGUCAAUAUGUUGUGUUGGGCUAAUGCAUCUACAGCCAGGGUGGUUUGAGCUGAUUCAAAUGCAAACUCAAGUUAUGGGUUUAUAAAGUGCAUUAACAUGUUUUGAGCUAAACAACAAUGUUAAGUUGCUUAAACAUGCAUGAAACCAACACAGAUGGAUAGGAUUUUUUUGAUCAUUUUUCAUAUAUAAAUUAUUUCAUUCUGAGUUAUAGAAUAAUUUCUAUGAUUUUUUGAAGUUUAUACUAUUUUCUGGAAUUUCUAAAUCAUUUCUAAAAUAGAAAUAAUCCAGAACUGGUUUAUUGUGUCAGCCUGACUGUCGGGGGACUAAUCCACGAGCACCUAUGGGACCGGCGGACCGAGUCCCUUUCGGUUCGGCGGGGGCGAGGGUCGCACGAAGAGCGGAUCGAGGCGAAGCACACGAGCAGUUUACCCAGGUUCGGGCCGCACGGAUGCGUAAAACCCUAUUCCUGCUUUGUGGUUUGUAUUGAGUUCUUGCUCGGGAGCGCGGAGUGCUAUAGUACACCCCAGCAGCCAACGAGACCGAGCGUGAGUGUUCUCUUCCUCCCCCCCCUCUACGUUGCGCAUGGGCCUCCUUUUAUAUGCUCAAGGGGUCAGCAACAGGUGGCAACGUAGACAAGGGUAAAAAUGGAAAGGUGUUGCGGUUGGUACAGCUACCUGCUACAGUGUAUCAUACCUAACCCUGACGGCAGGGGACCAGGACAUUAAAUGCCCGUCUGCAUCGCCUAAAUAGUGCAAAAGGGACCGUCAGGGACGCCACCGCUCGCCAUGAUGGCAAUCUUGUCAGUGCCGCUUGCCACCGCGCACCGCUGGCUGCACAGCCUCCCGCCACGUACGCCUGGAAGGGUCCCAGAGUGACACGUUGGUGGAUGUGCUGGAGCGCGGGCACAGAGUGGUGGCUUGCCACGGCAAGCGCCUUGCCGCGGUCGUUGUCUUGUCGCGUCCGGGAGCUUGUUGCUCACCGGGCCUUGUCGGGACGCGUGGCGCGUCGCGGCAAGUUCCUUGAGAUGCCUUGGUUGGCCUUCCUGGAAAGCUCCUCUUGCCGGGGUCUUGUCUCCUUGGCUUGGAUACUUUGUCCUUGAAUGGCUCCAAAGGAACCACGAAGGACCUUGGCGGUCACCCGGCAAGCCUUGCCGCGGGAUGCUGCGACUGCCCGUGCACAAGUUCGGGAUACUAGGGUACCCCUACUCUAGUACACCGACAGGAGCCCCCAGGCCUGGGCCAUACACGGUGCCGAGCGCUGUUGGGCCAGGCCCAAAACAGGGCACGGGCACGCGCGGCCUGGGUUACGCCGUAUCUCUCCCCGUAUCCACCGCGCCCUCCCCGAACGGCACGCGUUGAAUGCGGCAUCGUGGGAGAGAUCGUGGGUGGUUUCUUUAUCCGGAAAGGCGGAACGUCCGCCCCCUUCCUCUUUAUAAGCAUGGGAAACAGGGAUAGUUCGCCCAUUCGCUGGUUGCUACUCCAAUCUCGGAAACCUCCACCGCUCCCUCGUCUUCCCAAAGCUGAAAGAGAGCAGCGCCCCGCCCCCCAUCGCCACCAGCACCACCAACGCCGUCGACCUCCUCCACCACUUCCGCCAUGGCUCCGAGAGCCGACAAAGGGAAGGUUGUGAAGUCAACCGAGGCGCAGCGGCUUGCGGUGCUACGAAAGGAGCGGGCAAUCUUCCCCCCCAAGCUCGCCGCGAGGGAGCUGAGGGAGAAUUACUACCUCUUCUGGUCGACGGAGACGCGAGCGCAUCCGCGCAUGAAGGUACUUCCAGCCGCCACUUGGAAAAUGGCUCCAAAUGGAUAUCCUUUCUUCGCCUUGUUAUUCUACUGCGGGCUUUGCCCGCCUUUCUCUGAGUUUUUCUGCGAUAUUAUGAACACCAAGACGCUGGACGGCGCCAGGGAGCAGGAGGUGGCCUUGAAGGAGGAGAUCAAGGCCGACAAGGCGCUGCUGGUGAGUGCUGCCGCCGCCUAGAAUGCUUUUAGGGAAAAUGUGGAGCACUGGACGGAGGGUCUCGUGAAAGCUGCCGCAGAUAUCGACAGGGAGCUGGCGCAGCUGGGGGUGGAGGAUCUCGGGUAUCCCUCUGAUGAGAACCUCCAACCCAGCGCCAAGCUCACCUUGUUCUUCAAAGGCGUGGCGACAGGGAGCGGCUCCGGGAGAAGAUCCCAAAGCAGCUGGCCGAUGAGUCUCGCAAGAUCUGCGCGGGAGCUCUUCAAAAGGUGUUGGUGAAGGUGGCCUUCCGCAACCCGGGCCUCAACCUCACCAACGUCCUCAAGACCCUGCCGCCGGAUGCUGAUCUGGAGGCGCUCAAGACCCUUGUCGCACCCAUUGUGGACAAGGUGAGCGGGAUCAAGAGGAUUGAGGGCGAUCGCGUAGACUAGGCCGCCCGUUUUCUUCUUUUCUUGUCGCUGCUGGUCAUGUUAUAAGAACAAUCUGUUAGAGCCGCGACAAGCUACCUUGUAAUAUAACUCUAUUCCGGGUAAUGAUUGCAAUGUUAUUCCCUUUACUUGAUUCCUCCCUUUGUAUGUUUUUGCCCUACGCUUUUAGGGAACUUGCCGGUGCAGGCACCUUAGCCGCGAGCGCUGAGUGCGGGACGUCAGCAGCCUGCUGGCGGUGCCGCUACCGACAAGAAACCUUGUCGCAACUAGUCGCAGCUCACUUAAGUUGUUGAGCGGACUCGAAACAAAGUAAGGGCGCAACUAGCUACGAGUUGGUUCCUCCGCGCAUAGUUUUUCCAUACAAAGUGCGGUCGUUCAAGGGAGAUAACUUAAAAAUUUAAAAAAUCUGAUUGCUCAAACUUUGGCAACUUAGCUUUUCUGUUGUUUGCUUCCCGGUAAGGCGAAACUUUCUUGAACGACGCCUGGUCCAUACUAUUAUCUUCUCCUUUCCCCCCGGCAAACUUGUGGGCGAGGGAACCUUCCUUUCCUUGAGAAAAAAGAAAGAGGAGAAGAUAAAGAUAUGGAGCCUUACGGCUCGUUAUUGCUUACCGGGGAGUAGGUGCUGCACAAAGUGUCAGAUCACAUAUGCAAAAAAUAGAAAGCAUGAAAUUGACAAGAUGUGCGGAGCAUAUGAGCAUUACUUAUGCACGGGGUCUGCGCCCGGCUUUGUACUAAGGAUUACAUGCAACUGCGGCAAGACUUGUACAAAAGGUGGUUGCCGGAACAGGUUCCGGCAACCGCGCCUUACGGGUAAAACUUAUGAAGAUGCUCAAUGUUCCAGGAAUUGCUCACCGGAAUGCUAUCUUCGGUCUCAAGGCGGACAGCGCCAGGCCUAGUGACUCGUUUCACCCGGUAAGGGCCUUCCCACUUCGGCGUCAACUUGUUGGAAUUCUUGGCAGACUGAACACGCCGAAGAACAAGGUCGCCUUCCUUGAGACUUCUGGCGUUAACUUUGCGGCUAUGGUAGCGGCGCAAAGCUUGCUGGUAGCGAGCAGCUCGUAUAGCAGCCUGAAGACGGUCUUCCUCAAGGAGUAGCGCGUCAUCUUGUCGCAGCUGCUCUUGCUCAAGCUCAUCAUAAGCGAGCACUCGAGGUGACCCGUAUACGAGUUCCGUGGGGAGAACUGCCUCUGCUCCAUAGACUAGAGCGAAAGGUGUCUGGCCAGUGGCUCGAUUUGGCGUCGUCCUGAUCGACCAAAGAACCACCAGCAGCUCCUCGAUCCAGCUUCUUCCGCACUUGUGAAGCCUGUCGAAAGUUCUGGUCUUGAGCCCACGCAGCACUUCAGCAUUUGCCCUCUCCGCUUGACCGUUGCUUCUCGGGUGAGCAACAGAAGCGAAGCAGACCUUGGCGCCAAGAUCUUGGACGUACUGCAUGAAGGUGCGGCUCGUGAAUUGCGUACCGUUGUCAGUGAUUAGCCUGUUAGGGAUCCCGAAGCGGCAAACAAUCGACCUGAAGAACUUGACUGCUGACUGUGCUGUCACCUUCCUCGCUGCUUCCACUUCCGGCCACUUUGUGAACUUGUCAAUUGGAACGUACAAGUACUCAAAGCCCCCGACUGCUCGGGGAAAGGGGCCGAGGAUGUCGAGCCCCCAGACCGAAAAUGGCCAGGAUAAAGGGAUCAUCUGGAGAGCUUGAGCUGGUUGGUGUAUCUGCUUGGAAUGGAACUGGCACGCUUCACACUUGGUUACUUGUGCAGUUGCAUCCUGGAGGGCUGUCGGCCAAAAGAAACCUUGCCGGAAUGCUUUGCCGGCAAGUGCUCUUGCGCCAAUGUGGUGACCACAUAUGCCUCCAUGUAUCUCUGCCAACAACUUUUGUCCGUCUUCCCGGUGAAUACACUUCAAUUUCACACCGUUGAGUCUUCUUCUGUACAGUGUGUUGUCGACAAACUGGUACAUACUUGACUGCCGGGCUACUCUUUCCGCUUCUUCUUGCUCUUCAGGAAGUUCUCCUAUUUGAAGGAAAUGGACAAUCUGCUGUGUCCAUGCUGGAGCUUGUGGCUCGACAACAAGGACUAAAGGCAAAUCUGCUGCUGCGGGAACAUCUGCUUCUAAGGCGAGAACCUGCGGCUCUGCCGGAGCUUGACGUUCCCCGGCAAGCUUGCCGGAGCAAAACUUGUCGGGAGCUUCUGCUUCAACGGAACAAACCCUAGGGCUUGCCGGAGCAGACUGCUCCUCAGCGCUCUUGGCGUUGAUCUUGGGGACCUUCUUGGCGGCGGCUUCGGGAAGCUCUGCCGGAAAAUAGUUACCAGAAAUCAACUUCCUCUUCUUGCUCUGUCCAGUUGAUGGCGUUACAGACGGUUGAGUCAGCUUGAGCACAAAGAUCCCUGGUUCCACAGGUAACUUAAGUGCGGCGCACUUUGAUAGGCCAUCGGCAAUGGCGUUCUGAGCUCUUGGAACAUGCUCCAUCUGUAGGCCGUCAAAGUGCUCUUCUAGCUUUCUCACUUCGUCGACGUAGGCUUCCAUCAACGGACUCUGAUAGCUCUUGUUCACUUGGCGGACGACAAGCUGUGAGUCACCCCUGACAAUGAGCUUCUUGAUCCCAAGGUCUGCCGCGAUCCUGAGACCGGCAAGCAAGCCUUCAUACUCUGCAGUAUUGUUUGUUGCUUGCUCCUUGGGAAAGUGCAUCUGGACUACGUACUUGAGGUGCUUUUCGGUGGGUGCGACAAGCAGCAUGCCAGCACCGGCGCCUUGCAGCGAAAAGGCACCAUCAAAGUACAUCAGCCACUCUUUGCUUGCUUCCUUGACGGGGAUGCUCGUUUCUGGAAUUUCUUCAUAUGGUGUUGGCGUCCAUUCUGCUAUGAAUUCUGCCAAUGCUCUGCUUUGGAUAGUUGAAGUACUCUCAAACUUGAGGCCAAAGCUUGACAGUUCCAGUGCCCACUCAACAAUCCUGCCUGUCGCUUCUGGAUUCUGUAGUAUCCUCUUUAGCGGAAAACGAGUGACAACUGUGAUCUCAUGUGCUUGGAAGUAAUGGCACAACUUUCUCGAGGCCAUGAGAAGGCCGAAAAGCAAUUUCUGCACGCCAGAGUACCUUGACCUAGCCCCCUGCAGAAGGGAACUGACAAAGUAAACUGGGCGUUGUACCAUUCUCUUCUGUAUCUCCUCGCGCGUCUGCGCAGAUCCAUCCUUGUCGGGACCAGAGCUUGUCGGGGAAGCCCCCUGCUUGUCGCUGGAUGCGCCUGCCGUGGUUGCUGGCUCGUCAUCUGCCUCCCUCUCUGCUACUAACGCAGCACUAACCACUUGAUUGGUUGCCGCUAUAUACAGCAGCAACUUCUCUUGUGGCUUAGGUGCGACAAGUGUUGUAGUGGAGGACAGGUAUCUCUUCAAGUCUUGCAGCGCAGCCUCCGCUUCCGGAGUCCAUUUCAUUGGACCUGCCUUUUUCAAUAUUUUGAAAAACGGCAGGGCGCGCUCAGCAGACCUAGAGAUAAACCUGCUGAGAGCAGCCACGCAACCGACAAGUCUUUGUACAUCCUUGACGCGCUUUGGUGCUUCAAUCUGCUCAAUGGCCUUGAUCUUGUCGGGAUUGGCUUUGAUUCCCCGCUGAGACACGAAGAACCCGAGAAGCUUGCCGGAGGGGACUCCAAACACACACUUCUCGGGGUUGAGCUUGAGGCUGAUCUUGCGCAGAUUUGCAAAGGUGUCGUCUAAAUCUUGAAUCAGAGUUGCCUUGUCCUUGCUCUUGACCACUAUGUCAUCCAUGUAGGCUUCCACAUUUCUGUGUAUUUGUGGCUCAAGAGCGACAUGGACUACCCUUGCAAAUGUUGAACCAGCAUUUUUUAAACCGAAAGGCAUCCGUAUGAAAUAGUACGUGCCACAUGGAGUGAUGAAUGCGGUCUUAUCCUCAUCCUCUUCUGCCAUGAAGAUCUGAUGGUAUCCUGAGUAUGCGUCAAGAAAUGAAAGCAAGUCACAUCCGGCCGUGGAGUCAACAAUCUGGUCAAUGCGCGGCAAAGGAAAUGGGUCUUUGGGACAAGCUUUAUUAACAUCGGUAAAGUUGAUACAAAGUCUCCAUUUCCCGUUCACCUUGCGCACGACUACAGGAUUGGCCAACCACAUAGGAUGGAGCACUCCUCUGACAAGGCCUGCUGCUUCCAACUUUUUGAUCUCUUCUGUGAUGAAUUCUUGGCGCUCCACUGCUUGCUUCCUGACCUUCUGCUUGACGGGCCGCGCAUGAGGACAAACGGCAAGAUGGUGCUCAAUUACUUUCCUGGGUACACCGGGGAUGUCAGACGGUUGCCACGCAAACACGUCGACGUUCGCCCGCAGGAAAGCAAUGAGCGCGCUUUCCUAUUUAGGGUCGAGAGUGGCACUGAUGGUGAAGGUACCACCAGUGCCGUCCUCCUUGGCGGACACCUUCUUGGUCUCUAGCGGAGCUGCCAUUGUCUUCUUACACUUGCCGGUGGAGCUCAAUGGUGCGUCCUCGACGGCAGCGCAGCACUCCGAAGAGGUGCGCUUGCCGGAGUGGGCAUCAGAACUCUUGCCGGACUUGGUCUUCUUCUUCCCCCCGGGAGCUUCAACGGCAGGUGACUUGCGACCUGUUGCGGCUGCCGCUUCCCGGUAGAUCUUGUCGGUGCAGAUAAGAGCAUCCUUCUUGUCGCCAGGGACAGAGAUGACGCUUAUCGGGCCUGGCAUCUUCAGCAUGUUGUAUGCGUAGUGAGAGGCUGCCAUGAACUUGGCGAGUGCUGGACGACCGAGUAUCCCAUUGUAAGGCAAUGGAAAAUCGGCAACGUCAAAAGUGACCCUCUCAGUCCUGAAGUUCACCUCGCUGCCAAAUGUUACUGGCAACGUGACCUUCCCCUUCGGCUUGCUCCUUCCCGGGUUGAUUCCUUGGAAUGUGCCGGUCUCUUCAAGCUCACUGUUAGGGAUCUGGAGUUUCUGGAGUACAGCAGAGGAGAUCAGGUUCAAGCUGGCCCCACCGUCAACUAGCAUCUUAGUGACCUUGAGGUUGCGGAUAGUUGGUGAAACCAACAUCGGCAAGCACUCGACCGCAGUUGUGCGAUCAGGGUGGUCCUCAAUAUCAAAGAUGAUAGGCGUGCUGGACCAUUUCAGAAGCUUGCGUGACUCGACAGGUGGUUCCGCCGCAUUGACUUCCCGCACCCACUGCUUGAGUUGGCGGUGCGAAGUAUGCAGAGAAGCACCGCCGUCAAUGCACAAGACCUCUGUGGCUUUCUGGAACUCCUGCUCACUGGUCUCGACACCAUCCAUGUCUUCGUCGUCGUCGUCAUCUUCAUCCUUGUCGCGGCCGCGGGCAGGUCUAUCUCCUUGCCGCUGCGUGGCCUUGCCGCGGCGUCCUCCCCGGCCGGCGCGCUUCUUGCUGGAUUCUCCAGAGCCUCCUUGGGCCCUCUCCUUGUCGCGUCGCUCGUAUUCAGCCUUUUGCUGCUGGACAAGCUGCUCGACCUUCUUGCAGCUCUGGAGGUCAUGUCCCUUGGUGCGGUGGAUCUUGCAGUACUGCUUGUUAGUGCCGUCCUGCUUGUCGGCGAUCGCCACAGUCUGGCAGUUGGUGCAUGCGGCAAUCUCCUUGCCGGAGCUACCAGCUUUGGCUUUCUUGGCGCCACCUUCGUUGCCAGACUGCUCAAUGACCAGCACAUCUUUGCCUUUCUUCUUCCUGUUGUUCCGCCGCCGGUUUUUCUUUGCCGGGGCAGCAUCCUCGCUGUCAGAUCCUCCUGCUCCUGUAUUCUCUCCGAGGAGUUUCCUCCCUUCCUCAACACGUGCACACUUGUCGGCCAGGGCAUAUAACUCACUAACGUCUCUGAUCUUGCACAUCGCCAUCUCCUUCCGCAUCCAGCGGUUACGCAUGUUCUGAUGGAACGCGCUGAUGACCGUGGCAGGGUGGACAUCUGGGAUGUUGUGCUGUACACGGCUGAAUCUCUGAAUGUACUUGCACAGGGGCUCUCCUUCCUUCUGGGCGAGCAGAUGAAGGUCACUCUCUUGGCCAUGGGGUUUGUGGCCGCCUGUAAAGGCGCCGACAAACUGAUGGCAUAGGUCUGCCCGGGAGGAUAUGGAGUCGUCCGGCAAGUGCAUGAGCCAGGACCUGACGUUGGGCUUGAGCACCAGCAGGAAGUAGUUGGCAAGGAUCUUGUCGUCCCACCCCCCGGCAGCCUGCACCGCGAUGGUGUAGAUGCUAAGGAACUCCGACGGAUGCGACUUGCCGUCGUACUUCUCUGGUACGUCUGGCUUGAAAUUCUUCAUGCUGGGCCACUGGACUUGCCGCAGCUCACGAGUAAACGCAGGAAAACCUACCGCGUACGGCAAGUCGCCUGGUUCCCUUGGCGCAUGCAUGUCGACAGAGGGCCCAGCGCGCUGGUCCGAUUGACGUCGCGCUUCUCUUCGGCGCUCGAUGCGAGUACGAGCGUCUUCUUGCUGUCGUUCGUGAAGAACUUGGCGCUGAUCGCAAUGAGCUCGUGGAUCUGAUGACGCGGUGGAGUCGCUGUCGAGGUGGAUCUGGCGAGUCGGCGAUCUUGGCCUUCGGGGCGGAGAGUGCACAGUGGUUGCACCCCCACCGGUCUUGUCGCCACCGGCUCGUGCCUGGCUGACUUGCCGCGGCUGCGACGUGCUCGGCUGCCAUUGAGUGUCGCCGUUGGCGAAGCCGAUGAGACUCUGAAUGGUGGCCCUCCAGUCAUCAAUCUUGUCUGCCGUUGGAGGGUAGUCCAGGAGCAGUUGAGCUCGCGCCAAAGCUUCUGCUGUAGUGGUGGGUGGCGGUGGCGAACGGUGCGAGGAGCGGGAUAUGCUCGGACUUCUAACUAUGUUAGAAGGAGCAGUAUCCCGUCCAGGCGACCGUGCCUCGCUCGUGCCAGCAUGUUGGCGUGCAUGCUGGUCUUGAGCACUCCGAGAUCCACCAGCUCGAUCUUGGUCCAGCAAACGCAUGGUACCGUGAGUACCAUGAUGCUGCCGGUCCCGCGCCUCCUGAGAUGGGCGCGGUGCAUGUACGGACGCCGAGGUCUUGGAGUGCGCCCGGUCGUUGUGGGAGCCGGCUACGCCGCCGAUGGGCAGCGCAGCCUUGUCCUUGGACCUGGCAGCACCGUGAGCUCCCUCGUCGACGCCCGUUCUUCCGCCGGCGUCUGCCCCAUCAGCCGUUUGCUCCGGCAGUGGUGGGUUCGGCGCGGACGGGACAACCGCCUCCGAAGCCUUCUUCUUUGGCGGCAUGUCGAUGAAGAUGAUGAAGAUCUAGCUCGUGUGAACGCCGGACCUGGUUCACACAACCUCGACCCCCCUACCUGGCGCGCAAAAGAUGUCGGGGGACUAAUCCACGAGCACCUAUGGGACCGGCGGACCGAGUCCCUUUCGGUUCGGCGGGAGCGAGGGUCGCACGAAGAGCGGAUCGAGGCGAAGCACACGAGCAGUUUACCCAGGUUCGGGCCGCACGGAUGCGUAAAACCCUACUCCUGCUUUGUGGUUUGUAUUGAGUUCUUGCUCGGGAGCGCGGAGUGCUACAGUACACCCCAGCAGCCAACGAGACCGAGCGUGAGUGUUCUCUUCCUCCCCCUCCCCCCUCUACGUUGCGCAUGGGCCACCUUUUAUAUGCUCAAGGGGUCACCGACAGGUGGCAACAUAAACAAGGGUAAAAAUGGAAAGGUGUUGCGGUUGGUACAGCUACCUGCUACAGUGUAUCAUACCUAACCCUGACGGCAGGGGACCAGGGCAUUAAAUGCCCGUCUGCGUCACCUAAAUAGUGCAAAAGGGACCGUCAGGGACGCCAACGCUCGCCACGAUGGCAAUCUUGUCAGUGCCGCUUGCCACCGCACACCGCUAGCUGCACAGCCUCCCGCCACGUACGCCUGGAAGGGUCCCAGAGCGACACGUUGGUGGAUGUGCUGGAGCGCGGGCACAGAGUGGUGGCUUGCCGCGGCAAGCGCCUUGCCGCGGUCGUUGUCUUGUCGCGUCCGGGAGCUUGUCGCUCACCGGGCCUUGCCGGGACGCGUGGCGCGUCGCGGCAAGUUCCUUGAGAUGCCUUGGUUGGCCUGUUGGAAAUAUGCCCUAGAGGCAAUAAUAAAAGCAUUAUUAUUAUAUUUCCUUGUUCAUGAUAAUUAUCUUUAUUCAUGCUAUAAUUGUGUUAUCCGGAAAUCGUAAUACAUGUGUAAAUAAUAGACACCAACAUGUCCCUAGUAAGCCUCUAGUUGACUAGCUCGUUGAUCAACAGAUAGUCAUGGUUUCCUGACUAUGGACAUUAGAUGUCAUUGAUAACGAGAUCACAUCAUUAGGAGAAUGAUGUGAUGGACAAGACUCAAUCCUAAACAUAGCACAAGAUCGUAUAGUUCGUUUGCUAGAGUUUUCCAAUGUCAAGUAUCCUUUCCUUAGACCAUGAGAUCGUGUAACUCCCGGAUACCGUAGGAGUGCUUUGGGUAUACCAAACGUCACAACGUAACUGGGUGACUAUAAAGGUAUACUACGGGUAUCUCCGAAAGUGUCUGUUGGGUUGACAUGGAUCAAGACUGGGAUUUGUCACUCCGUAUGAUGGAGAGGUAUCACUGGGCCCACUCGGUAAUGCAUCAUCAUAAUGAGCUCAAAGUGACCAAGUGUCUGGUCACGGGAUCAUGCAUUACGGUACGACUAAAGUGACUUGCCGGUAACGAGAUUGAACAAGGUAUUGGGAUACCGACGAUCGGAUCUCGGGCAAGUAACAUACCGAUUGACAAAGGGAAUUGUAUACGGGGUUGCUUGAAUCCUCGACAUCGUGGUUCAUCCGAUGAGAUCAUCGAGGAGCAUGUGGGAGCCAACAUGGGUAUCCAGAUCCCGCUGUUGGUUAUUGACUGGAGAGCGAUCUCGGUCAUGUCUACAGGUCUCCCGAACCCGUAGGGUCUACACACUUAAGGUUCGGUGACGCUAGGGUUGUAAGGAUAUGUAUAUGCAGUAACCCGAAUGUUUUUCGGAGUCCCGGAUGAGAUCCCGGACAUCACGAGGAGUUCCAGAAUGGUCCGGAGGUAAAGAUUUAUAUAUGGGAAGUCCUGUUUCAGCCAUCGGGACAAGUUUCGGGGUCAUCGGUAUUGUACCGGGACCACCGGAGGGGUCCCAGGGGUCCACCGGGUGGGGCCACCUGUCCCGGGGGGGCCACAUGGGCUAUAGGGGGUGCGCCUUGGCCUACAUGGGCCAAGGGCACCAGCCCCAAGAGGCCCAUGCGCCUAGGGUUUCAAGGGAGGAAGAGUCCUAGGAGGGGAAGGCACCUCCUAGGUGCCUUGGGGAGGAGGGUUUCCUCCCCCUUGGCCGCACCCCCCUAGGAGAUUGGAUCUCCUAGGGCCGGCGCCCACCCCUUGGCCCUCCUAUAUAUAGUGGGGAGAUGGAGGACUUCUUACCUUGGCCUUUGGUGCCUCCCUCUCCCUCUCCAACACCUCCUCCUCCUCCAUAGUGCUUGGCGAAGCCCUGCUGGAGUACUGCAGCUCCAUCAACACCACGCCAUCGUGCUGCUGCUGGUGCCAUCUCCCUCAACCUCUCCUUCCCCCUUGCUGGAUCAAGAAGGAGGAGACGUGGCUGUUCCGUACGUGUGUUGAACGUGGAGGUGCCGUCCGUUCGGUGCUAGGAUCUUCGGUGAUUCGAAUCACGUCGAGUACGACUCCCUCAUCCCCGUUCUUUGAACACUUCUGCUCGCGAUCUACAAGGUACGUAGAUGCAUCUAAUCACUCGUUGCUAGAUGAACUCAUAGAUGGAUCUUGGUGAAACCGUAGGAAAUUUUUUUGUUUUCUGCAACGUUCCCCAACAGUGGCAUCAUGAGCUUGGUCUAUGCGUAGUUCUUCUUGCGCGAGUAGAACACAAUUUGUUGUGGGCGUAGAUAUUGUCAACUUUCUUGCCGCUACUAGUCUUAUCUUGCUUCAACGGUAUUGUGGGAUGAAGCGGCCCGGACCAACCUUACACGUACGCUUACGUGAGACCGGUUCCACCGACUAACAUGCACAAGUUGCAUAAGGUGGCUGGCGGGUGUCUGUCUCUCCUACUUUACUUGGAGCGGAUUCGAUGAAAAGGGUCCUUGUGAAGGGUAAAUAGAAGUUGACAAAUCAUGUUGUGGCUUUCACGUAGGUAAGAAAACGUUCUUGCUAGAACCCUACUUCAGCCACGUAAAACUUGCAACAAUAAUUAGAGGACGUCUAACUUGUUUUUGCCGCAAGUGCUUUGUGAUAUGAUAUGGCCAAAGUUGUGAUGAAUGAUGAAUGAUCUAUAUGUAAUGUAUGAGAUGUUCAUGCUAUUGUAAUAGGAAUCACGACUUGCAUGUCGAUGAGUAUGACAACCGGCAGGAGCCAUAGGAGUUGUCUUUAUUUUUGUAUGACCUGCGUGUCAUUGAGAAACGCCAUGUAAAUUACUUUACUUUAUUGCUAAACGCGUUAGCCAUAGUAGUAGAAGUAAUAGUUGGCAAGCAACUUCAUGGAGACACAAUGAUGGAGAUCAUGAUGACGGAGAUCAUGGUGUCAUGCCGGUGACAAGAUGAUCAUGGAGCCCCAAGAUGGAGAUCAAAGGAGCUAUGUGAUAUUGGCCAUAUCAUGUCACUAUUAUUAUUUGAUUGCAUGUGAUGUUUAUCAUGUUUUUCAUCUUGUUUGCUUAGAACGACGGUAGUAAAUAAGAUGAUCCCUCAUAAUAAUUUCAAGAAAGUGUUCCCCCUAACUGUGCACCGUUGCGACAGUUCGUUCGUUUCUAAGCAUCACGUGAUGAUCGGGUGUGAUAGAUUCCAACGUUCACAUACAACGGGUGUAAGACAAAUUUACACAUGCAAACACUUAGGUUGACUUGACGAGCCUAGCAUGUACAGACAUGGCCUCGGAACACAGAAGACUGAAAGGUCGAGCAUGAGUCGUAUAGAAGAUACGAUCAACAUGAAGAUGUUCACCGAGUUGACUAGUCCGUCUCACGUGAUGAUCGGACACGGCCUAGUUGACUCGGAUCAUGUUAUACUUAGAUGACUAGAAGAGGGAUGUCUAUCUAAGUGGGAGUUCAUUGAAUAAUUUGAUUAGAUGAACUUAAUUAUCAUGAACUUAGUCUAAAAUAUUUACAAUAUGUCUUGUAGAUCAAAUGGCCAAUGUAGUCCUCAACUUCAACGCGUUCCUAGAGAAAACCAAGCUGAAAGACGAUGGCAGCAACUACACGGACUGGGUCCGGAACCUGAGGAUCAUCCUCAUAGCUGCCAAGAAAGAUUAUGUCCUACAAGCACCGCUAGGUGACGCACCUGUUCUCCCUGCAGAACAAGACGUUAUGAACGCUUGGCAGGCACGUACCGAUGACUACUCCCUCGUUCAGUGCGGCAUGCUUUAUAGCUUAGAGCCGGGGCUCCAAAAGCGUUUUGAGAGACAUGGAGCAUAUGAAAUGGUUGAAGAGAUGAAAAUGGUUUUUCAAGCUCAUGCCCGGGUCGAGAGAUAUGAAGUCUCUGACAAAUUCUUCAGCUGUAAGAUGGAGGAAAAUAGUUCUGUUAGUGAGCACAUACUCACUAUGUCUGGGUUACAUAACCGCUUGACUCAGCUGGGAGUUAAUCUCCCGGAUGACGCGGUCAUUGACAGAAUCCUCCAGUCGCUUCCACCAAGCUAUAAGAGCUUUGUGAUGAACUUCAAUAUGCAGGGGAUGGAAAAGACCAUUCCUGAAGUAUUUGCUAUGCUGAAAUCAGCUGAGGUAGAAGUCAAGAAGGAACAUCAAGUGUUGAUGGUGAAUAAAACCACUAAGUUCAAGAAGGGAAAGGGUAAAAAGAACUUCAAGAAGGACGGCAAGGGAGUUGCCGCGCCCGGCAAGCAAGCUGCCGGGAAGAAGCCAAAGAAUGGACCCAAGCCCGAGACUGAGUGCUUUUAUUGCAAGGAAAGUGGUCACUGGAAGCGGAACUGCCCCAAAUACUUAGCGGACAAGAAGGCCGACAAAACAAAAGGUAUAUGUGAUAUACAUGUAAUUGAUGUGUACCUUACCAGUACUCGUAGUAGCUCCUGGGUAUUUGAUACCGGUGCAGUUGCUCACAUUUGUAACUCAAAGCAGGAGCUGCGGAAUAAGCGGAGACUGGCAAAGGACGAGGUGACGAUGCGCGUCGGGAAUGGUUCCAAGGUCAAUGUGAUCGCUGUCGGCACGCUACCUCUACAUUUACCUACGGGAUUAGUUUUAAACCUCAAUAAUUGUUAUUUAGUGCCAGCUUUGAGCAUGAACAUUGUAUCGGGAUCUCGUUUAAUUCGAGAUGGCUACUCAUUUAAAUCCGAGAAUAAUGGUUGUUCUAUUUAUAUGAGAGAUAUGUUUUAUGGUCAUGCUCCGAUGGUGAAUGGUUUAUUCUUCCUCGAACGUAAUGCUACACAUGUUCAUAGUGUGAAAACCAAAAGAUGUAAGGUUGAUAACGAUAGUCCCACAUACUUGUGGCACUGCCGCCUUGGUCACAUAGGUGUCAAACGCAUGAAGAAGCUCCAUGCAGAUGGACUUUUAGAGUCUCUUGAUUAUGAAUCAUUUGACACGUGCGAACCAUGCCUCAUGGGUAAAAUGACCAAGACUCCGUUCUCAGGAACAAUGGAGCGAGCAACCAACUUAUUGGAAAUCAUACAUACUGAUGUGUGCGGUCCAAUGAGUGUUGAGGCUCGCGGUGGCUAUCGUUAUGUUCUCACCCUCACUGAUGACUUAAGUAGAUAUGGGUAUGUCUACUUAAUGAAACACAAGUCUGAGACCUUUGAAAAGUUCAAGGAAUUUCAGAGUGAGGUUGAGAAUCAACGUGACAGGAAAAUCAAGUUCCUGCGAUCAGAUCGUGGAGGAGAAUACUUGAGUCAUGAGUUUGGCACACACUUAAGAAAAUGUGGAAUAGUUUCACAGCUCACGCCACCUGGAACACCUCAGCGUAAUGGUGUGUCCGAACGUCGUAAUCGCACUCUAUUAGAUAUGGUGCGAUCUAUGAUGUCUCUUGCCGAUUUACCGCUAUAUUUUUGGGGCUAUGCUUUAGAGACUGCCGCAUUCACUUUAAAUAGGCCUCCGUCGAAAUCCGUUGAGACGACACCGUAUGAAUUAUGGUUUGGGAAGAAACCUAAGCCGUCGUUUCUAAAAGUUUGGGGAUGCGAUGCUUAUGUCAAGAAACUUCAACCUGAAAAGCUCGAACCCAAGUCGGAAAAAUGCGUCUUCAUAGGAUACCCUAAAGAAACUAUAGGGUAUACCUUCUACCUCAGAUCCGAAGGCAAGAUCUUUGUUGCCAAGAAUGGAUCCUUUCUAGAGAAAGAGUUUCUCUCGAAAGAAGUAAGUGGGAGGAAAGUAGAACUUGAUGAAGUAUUACCUCUUGAACCGGAAAAUGGCGCAACUCAAGAAAAUGUUCCUGAGGUGCCUGCACCGACUAGAGAGGAAGUUAAUGAUAAUGAUCAAGAUACUUCUGAUCAAGCUCCUACUGAAAUUCGAAGGUCCACAAGGACACGUUCCGCACCAGAGUGGUACGGCAACCCUGUCUUGGAAAUCAUGUUCUUAGACAACAGUGAACCUUCGAACUAUGAAGAAGCGAUGGCGGGCCCGGAUUCCGACAAAUGGCUAGAAGCCAUGAAAUCGGAGAUAGGAUCCAUGUAUGAAAACGAAGUAUGGACUUUGACUGACUUGCCCGUUGAGCGGCGAGCCAUCGAAAAUAAAUGGAUCUUUAAGAAGAAGACAGACGCAGAUGGUAAUGUGACCAUCUAUAAAGCUCGGCUUGUCGCUAAGGGUUAUCGACAAGUUCAAGGGGUUGACUACGAUGAGACUUUCUCACCGGUAGUGAAGCUGAAGUCCGUCCGAAUCAUGUUAGCGAUUGCCGCAUUCUAUGAUUAUGAAAUAUGGCAAAUGGACGUCAAAACGGCAUUCCUUAAUGGUUUCCUUAAGGAAGAAUUGUAUAUGAUGCAGCCGGAAGGUUUUGUCGAUCCUAAGUACGCUGACAAGGUGUGCAAGCUCCAACGCUCGAUUUAUGGGCUGGUGCAAGCAUCUCGGAGUUGGAACAUUCGCUUUGAUGAGAUGAUCAAAGCGUUUGGGUUUACACAGACUUAUGGAGAAGCCUGCGUUUACAAGAAAGUGAGUGGGAGCUCUGUAGCAUUUCUCAUACUAUAUGUAGAUGACAUACUUUUGAUGGGAAAUGAUAUAGAACUCUCGGACAGCAUUAAGGCCUACUUGAAUAAGAGUUUUUCAAUGAAGGACCUUGGAGAAGCUGCUUAUAUAUUAGGCAUCAAGAUCUACAGAGAUAGAUCAAGACGCCUCAUAGGUCUUUCACAAAGCACAUACCUUGAUAAGAUAUUGAAGAAGUUCAAUAUGGAUCAGUCUAAGAAGGGGUUCUUGCCUGUGUUGCAAGGUAUGAAAUUGAGCUCAGCUCAAUGUCCGACCACGGCAGAAGAUAUAGAAGAGAUGAGUGUCAUCCCCUAUGCCUCAGCCAUAGGUUCUAUUAUGUAUGCCAUGCUGUGUACCAGACCUGAUGUAAACCUUGCCGUAAGUUUGGUAGGAAGAUACCAAAGUAAUCCCGGCAAGGAACACUGGACAGCGGUCAAGAAUAUCCUGAAGUACCUGAAAAGGACUAAGGAAAUGUUUCUCGUUUAUGGAGGUGACAAAGAGCUCGUCGUAAAGGGUUACGUCGAUGCUAGCUUCGACACAGAUCUGGAUGACUCUAAGUCACAAACCGGAGACGUGUAUAUUUUGAAUGGUGGGGCAGUAAGCUGGUGCAGUUGCAAGCAGAGCGUCGUGGCGGGAUCUACAUGUGAAGCGGAGUACAUGGCAGCCUCGGAGGCAGCGCAUGAAGCAAUUUGGGUGAAGGAGUUCAUCACCGACCUAGGAGUCAUACCCAAUGCGUCGGGGCCGAUCAAGCUCUUCUGUGAUAACACUGGAGCUAUUGCACUUGCCAAGGAGCCCAGGUUUCACAAGAAGACAAGGCACAUCAAGCGUCGCUUCAACUCCAUUCGUGAAAAUGUUCAAGAUGGAGACAUAGAUAUUUGUAAAGUGCACAUGGACCUGAAUGUAGGAGAUCCGUUGACUAAACCUCUCCCUAGAGCAAAACAUGAUCAACACCAGAAUUCCAUGGGUGUUCGAUUCAUCACAAUGUAACUAGAUUAUUGACUCUAGUGCAAGUGGGAGACUGUUGGAAAUAUGCCCUAGAGGCAAUAAUAAAAGCAUUAUUAUUAUAUUUCCUUGUUCAUGAUAAUUGUCUUUAUUCAUGCUAUAAUUGUGUUAUCCGGAAAUCGUAAUACAUGUGUGAAUAAUAGACACCAACAUGUCCCUAGUAAGCCUCUAGUUGACUAGCUCGUUGAUCAACAGAUAGUCAUGGUUUCCUGACUAUGGACAUUAGAUGUCAUUGAUAACGAGAUCACAUCAUUAGGAGAAUCAUGUGAUGGACAAGACUCAAUCCUAAACAUAGCACAAGAUCGUAUAGUUCGUUUGCUAGAGUUUUCCAAUGUCAAGUAUCCUUUCCUUAGACCAUGAGAUUGUGUAACUCCCGGAUACCGUAGGAGUGCUUUGGGUAUACCAAACGUCACAACGUAACUGGGUGACUAUAAAGGUAUACUACGGGUAUCUCCGAAAGUGUCUGUUGGGUUGACAUGGAUCAAGACUGGGAUUUGUCACUCCGUAUGAUGGAGAGGUAUCACUGGGCCCACUCGGUAAUGCAUCAUCAUAAUGAGCUCAAAGUGACCAAGUGUCUGGUCACGGGAUCAUGCAUUACGGUACGAGUAAAGUGACUUGCCGGUAACGAGAUUGAACGAGGUAUUGGGAUACCGACGAUGGGAUCUCGGGCAAGUAACAUACCGAUUGACAAAGGGAAUUGUAUACGGGGUUGCUUGAAUCCUCAACAUCGUGGUUCAUCCGAUGAGAUCAUCGAGGAGCAUGUGGGAGCCAACAUGGGUAUCCAGAUCCCGCUGUUGGUUAUUGACCAGAGAGCAAUCUCGGUCAUGUCUACAUGUCUCCCGAACCCGUAGGGUCUACACACUUAAGGUUCGGUGACGCUAGGGUUGUAGGGAUAUGUAUAUGCAGUAACCCGAAUGUUGUUCGGAGUCCCGGAUGAGAUCCCGGACGUCACAAGGAGUUCCAGAAUGGUCCGGAGGUAAAGAUUUAUAUAUGGGAAGUUCUGUUUCGGCCAUCGGGACAAGUUUCGGGGUCAUCGGUAUUGUACCGGGACCACCGGAGGGGUCCCGGGGGUCCACCGGGUGGGGCCACCUGUCCCUGGGGGGCCACAUGGGCUGUAGGGGGUGCGCCUUGGCCUACAUGGGCCAAGGGCACCAGCCCCAAGAGGCCCAUGCGCCUAGGGUUUCAAGGGAGGAAGAUUCCUAGGAGGGGAAGGCACCUCCUAGGUGCCUUGGGGAGGAGGGUUUCCUCCCCCUUGGCUGCACCCCCUAGGAGAUUGGAUCUCCUAGGGCCGGCGCCCCCCCCUUGGCCCUCCUAUAUAUAGUCGGGAGACGGAGGACUUCUUACCUUGGCCUUUGGUGCCUCCCUCUCCCUCUCCAACACCUCCUCCUCCUCCAUAGUGCUUGGCGAAGCCCUGCCGGAGUACUGCAGCUCCAUCAACACCACGCCGUCGUGCUGCUGCUGGUGCCAUCUCCCUCAACCUCUCCUUCCCCCUUGCUGGAUCAAGAAGGAGGAGACGUGGCUGUUCCGUACGUGUGUUGAACGCGGAGGUGCCGUCCGUUCGGUGCUAGGAUCUUUAGUGAUUCGAAUCACGUCGAGUACGACUCCCUCAUCCCCGUUCUUUGAAUGCUUCCGCUCGCGAUCUACAAGGUACGUAGAUGCAUCUAAUCACUCGUUGCUAGAUGAACUCAUAGAUGGAUCUUGGUGAAACCGUAGGAAUUUUUUUUGUUUUCUGCAACGUUCCCCAACAUGGCGUUCCCGGCAAGCUCCUCUUGCCGGGGUCUUGUCUCCUUGGCCUGGAUACUUUGUCCUUGAAUGGCUCCAAAGGAACCACGGAGGACCUUGGCGGUCACCCGGCAAGCCUUGCCGCGGGAUGCUGCGACUGCCCGUGCACAAGUUCGGGAUACUAGGGUACCCCUACUCUAGUACACCGACAUUGACGUCAAAGUGACGUCAACAGGUCAACAGUGCCAGCGAGGUCAAACCUGACGGCUGGGCCUCGCACGUCAGUGACACAGGAGGUUAAACAUGGUUAUUUGAUAUUAGAUUAAUCCUAAACUAAUUCUGUCAGUGGCAUGGCCCACAUGUCAGUGUCUAGUGUUAAACUAAAUAGGGUGGUUAGUGGUUAAUUAAGCCGGACACGUCAGCCCGCCGGAGUUAGUCACCGGUGACCUCUGGCCAUGGCAGAAACACACUAGGAGGCGACAGGAGCGGCGGAGAAAGGCACCAGGAGGUAGCCCGUGCGCCCGCGCAUCCAACGGAGCAGGUGGGAGGUCGCGGGGUGGUCGGAGCUCGCCGGAAGUGAGCUCGCGGCGGCGCCAGAGUUCGGGUGAGUGCGGGGCACUGUGGGGCACGGGAGGGCAAGUUAGCCUGUGCGUUAGGCUCCUGGUCGCUUCCUGAGCGCGGUGACGUGCUCAUCUUGGACGGAGGUGAGCUAAAACGAUGGCGGUGACAUGACCAGCGCCGGUGAGGUCUUGGCAUCGACAGAGAUGGGGGCUAUGCUAGGUUAUCGAGCAUGGGGAAGGGGGGCUUCCGUAGAGGAGCUCACGGCGAGGUCGUCGGUGAUCCCAGCGUGCUCGGGGACAGCUUGGUGACGAUGAAUCAGUCGACGGCGGCCGUCGAUGCAGAGGACGAAGAUGGUGUCGGUGGGGGCGCUCCAGGGUGUCCGACAUCAUGUGGCUCGUCGGGGAGGACUACAACGUCGUUUCGGAGCUCGGGGUUGUGUCGGAGAGGUUCGGGGAUGGCUGUGGCCGCGGUGGCAGCGAGCGCGGCGGCGAGCUCCCCUCGGUGGUGCUGCGGGAGAGAGCAGAGGAGGGGGAGGGGGUCCAGGGAGAGAGCGAGGGGGUCGAGAGGGAGUGCGUGGUAUCGCGGAGGGAGUCCAGGGCGAUGACGGGGCAGCCAGGCAGGCAGCUGCCGGCGUGGCACGCUGCGGCGUCGUGGCUGUCUUCUCCUGUGCCUUCUCGCAGGAGGAAGAAGACGCCCUGCCCUCGGUGGGCCGGCCAGAUGGCUGGGCUGCCAGGUGGGCUGGGCCUGCAGGUAACACAGGUAGGUGGCCCAGGUUAGUUCCCUCUCCAUCUUCUCUUUUAGUUUUCUAUUUUCUUUUAUUCUGUUUUGAAUUAGUAAAAAUACUAAUCCAUUUUGUAAAAUCCUGAAAAUAAUGGUGGGAAGUGUUUGGAUUAUUUCCAACAACCCAAAACUAGUUUCAGAAUUAUUAGAGCAUUUAAAAAUAUUUAUAGGAUUUAAAUGCUCCAAUUCAAAUACGAUAUGAGUUAAUUCAAAGAUCCAGAAUGUCCUGGAAAUAUAUUCAUCAUAUUUGGCAGAGGUUUUCACCUUUAUCAGAAAUCAUGAACAUUUUCAAAGGGCAUUCUGGGUUCUUUGAAAAAGAUUUUGGAUUGAACCUAGUUGAGUUCCAUUUGGUGCUAGGGUUUGAACAUCCCCAUUUCAACUUAAACAGAAUUUAAACAUGAUGCAACAAGAUGCGAAACACCAGGCAGUACCAUAAGCUAGGGAUGUGACAGCUCACCCCCACUAAACAAGAAUCUCGUCUCGAGAUUCAAGACGUGAGGUAAGAAGACAGAGGGGAUACAAGGCUAGCACGAUCUUCAUGAUCCAAGUGCCCUCAUCGAAGAUGUUGAUUCGUUCUACCACAUGAUCUUGACGUCUUGGCCUUCGAGAUCUUUGUCCAACAUGACACGAAGGAGAAAGGGAAACUCUAGAAGGAUCGAUCUUCUCGAAGAUCGAACAACUCAGGAUCAACUCACGAAAUGAGACGUAGGAAUAUCUCUUGAGCUAAGACACGAGACACUCAUCGGGGUGAUAGGAAAUAGAAGGUGGUGGCUUGAUUUGGUAGGAAACCAUUCCACGCUUAAAUAGAUGGUGAGGGGGUUUCAAGGUAGCGAGGAGUUAAGUUUCCCAUGAUACCAUAACGAGACAUCUUAGGGGAGAUGACUCAUAGAGUUAUUCCCUUAAGUGGAAAAAAGAAUUACUUUUGAUACGGAGAUCAUUGAAACUCUCUAUACCAGCCUAAGGCAAUUCACCAACAAUCAUUUGGUGAAGCUCAGAGGAAUGGCAUACCCGGACUAGAAUGGAUGAUGUGGACUACCUUGUUAAAGACAAUGCAAUGGAUGAUUUUUGCUUAUCAUCGGAAAUGGAUGGGACUCAUGGCAAGUCCACUUUUGAAGAUGAUAUUGGACAACAACUACCGAGAAGGGCAGCCGAUGGGGAAUUGGCACAAUGGCGGUGCAAUCUGGGAACAAAAUGCAACCGUUGGGAAUGUUCCAACCAUCAUAUCUGACUGAGAUUUAGAUCCGAUUGGUGAUAGGAUACUUCAGACUCAGCAUGUCUGAAAAGAAAGUUUGCAACACAAGUCGAUGAGAUGGCAUUGCUAGAUUCUCGGGAAAUGGACUAUGAUAGCAAGCUCCAAAACAUGAGCUGGUUCUGCUACAAACCUAUGAACACGCUAUCCAAGACAAGCAUGAUCACAUAGUAGUCUUACAAUAAAACAUUACUGGGUUCAGAUUGGAACCAUGAUUGGAAUAAAGAAGUCUUGUGCAUGUCCGUCUGGGCCCUUCGGGAAUAGCAUUUAAACUUCUUAUCCUUGAACAAAUCAAUCAGUGGCUUCGUGUGCUAGGGAUACAUAUAGAAUGAAGGUUGCAAGUCUCCAAACCAUAGAAUACUUCACACAUGUGCAUGGCUGACUUGGGAUGAUUCCAGAGGAAGCAAAACUAACUUUCUCGAAUUCACGGUGGCAACUUUCACCAAAUGCACGUGAAUCAGAGGUAGUCACUUUUUCCAUCCAAACAUAUGCUUCAUGAACAAAACAUGAAGAUAAUGCUUAUAAAGUUUCCAAUGCUAGCUGGAUGUUCAACACGAAUCAUGGAGAAGGUAGCAGUGUUGCUGAUGGGCUCAACAACAAUUCAUCCAGGUUUCCAUGAAGAUGGAAUUCCAUAAUUAUGUGAACAAGUGAUAGCAUUGGUCAGACCCGAAAGAUAUAAUGGUGUAUGCUCGAGGGAUCAACCACGAGUAAUACAACAUUAUGAACAUUGUUGGUUCUGAUUUGAUUUGAUGAUAGCCCAUACUCAAAUCAAAGUUUUGAUACGACAAUAGGUCCAACAACUAAUCACGGGGACCAAUCGAUGAAGAUAUCAUCUAUCUUCAACACACGCAAAUAUACCCCUUGAGACGAACUAAGCAAGCAAGCUUUUAUCUUCCAACUCUCCAAGUUAUUGUUUAGCUUAACCAACUAGCUCAGGGGGUAACCGACACAGAUUCUUGGAGAAUGGCUGGUUUGCAAGAAACCAACUUGAUCACGAACUCCACAUAGCGGUCAGGUGACAACCUGGUAAUACUUCCGAGAAGAUAUUCAGAGAAUCACGAACCACCGAUAUGUUGCUAAGCUCGAGAGCAAGCUUGUUUUUCAAGGCAAGACGAUAUGAUCAAAAGAGCAAGGGUUUGGCAAAAUCCUAACCCGUUGAUCGGAGAGUGCACCAGGAAAUAAGGACUAGGUAGCACGAUCAACCUUAGGGUGAUGAUUCAAUAACCAGCACACUAAGAAUGAUAUUAAUGUCCAUUAACUACCAAGCAAAGGGUUGCUAGGAGUAUUGAUUUCACACAUCACGAUUCACUUGUCGGUAUUCCGGUUGCGACAACACGACACCGAGGAAGGAAUGAUGAUGGCGAGAAGUAUCACUACGUCAAGAAUUCAUAAGGUAAGGUGCAAUUCUCAUGACAUUCCUAACAUAAAGUGGAUAAUACUACAGGGUAGAACAGACCAAUAGCUUGAUUGCAUUUGAUCUGCGAAAUACAACUAUUUUGUCCCAAUCCUAGAAAUGGAUGAGGUACUGGAGUUUGUUUCUCCUAGUCAUUCUGAACUAGAAUGGUUUAACGGACCACAAGAAUGAUAGGCACCGAUGAUCGAAUGCUCACACACUCUUCACUAUCAAUUGAUAGAUGAAGGUCGGAAUAUAAGUGAAGGGGGACAACUCAAAGGAACAUAUAACUUUCUGAGUUGUGGAUGCAUGGAUUAGUAUGUCGAACGAGUUCAACAUAUUUCUUCCUGAUAACCCAUGCAGAAAGGUAGAACUGGCGGAAUCACAAUUAUGAAUGGAGAAUUCCUCAUGAGUACUCUAAUGGUGAUCUUUUGGUUCAAAGAACUUCUGCCUUAAUGGUUCAUGGUAUUUGGAAGAAGGAAAUACCACGUACCUCGAGGACUAUCGCAAGUUUACUAAUAUCUUAAAGGAACUAGCAACACUAUCAACAUGAAGUAAGUAGGGUGAAUCUCGGGUUCGGAAACCCAGGAGUAGAAUACCUACUACUAAGUAGCAUCGCGGGAUGCUUUCGAGAAUGAUGGCCAGAAUCAUCACACUUGGGACACAAAGCAUUGCUAGAUUACUGGGUGGUUCUCUAGGGCACCUAGGGUCAUAAUAAUAGCUCCAACAUACACGUCAAGGCAACGGAGUACCUCAACACACCGAUUAGUGUGCUUAAUCUGGCCCAAAAAUACAACGGGAACAUGGAGGAAAGAUUUGCAAGUGCAUCAGACUAUUUAGAAACCUGGGAUGACUCGGACAACAUAGCGACUGUAAAUGCUCAAAAUGAUUUGAGACAUCCCGCAAAAAUGGUGGCAUAACCACUCAACAUCACAAUGUCAAGGUUUUGAGGCCAGCUAUGAACAUAUUUAAGUAGUAGGAACUGAACUGAGGCUUGAAACCAACAAUCCUAAGAGUCUACAGAUUAGUAACACGUGAUCCUGAUAGAAAGAUGAGAAGCCUAGUUCUUAAUCCCCGUAGAAAAAAAGGUUGACUCAGAUCAGAAGGGCAUAAGGUAACAAAGUAAAAAGAGCCUUACGUUCCCAUCCACAAUCAAUUUCCUUAUAAAACUAAAGCAUUUCCAGACACGACUUCGACCAGCUUGGCAUGGUAAUCCUACAGGCAGUCAGGCUCUGAUACCAAAGCUGUCAGGACCCCGAUCCCAAGUCACAUCAAUCUAGCUGGUAACACCUCAUUUCACUUUGCGGCCUCACGCAUGGUAUUCCCACGGGUGUCGCCUUACCAUGGCCCGGGACCGUUUGCGCCUUUUGGCUCACGUAUCUGAUAGUGUCGCUAGCAUCCAUAUGACAGAGAACCCGGGCCGACAUGGCUAGUCGUGAACCCAAAGCGGCACUAACCUAUGGGGACAGACAUACAUGAAUCACAUCGAGCAUAUCAGUCAGCAGCGUGUGAAUCCGGGCUGUAGCACUAGGCUAACACGACUCCAGGAACCCGGGCUGUAGCAGGCUAGGCAGGACUCUGGAUGUCACCGCGUGACAUUUCCCCGAAGGGACAUACACAGGAACAAAGUGAAACACAUGCCGGCCAGUCAAGUGUCCUGAGCAGUAGUGCUGGGUUAACAGGACUCCGGUGAACAGGGCUGUAGCAGACUACUAUGGCUCAUGGAAGCACUAGACUACAUUUCCCCAUAAGAGAGGCUGCCAAGGAUAAACAACUAGAUUGUCGGAUCCCACACAUGCCAAGUAUUUCAAUCAUACACACAAUAUGCUCGAUAUGUGUAAAUACAACAUGGCAUCACAACAUAACUCUACAACUCAAGUAGUUAUUCAUUAGGCUCCAAGGAGCGAGAUAUUACAAACAUGGGUCUCAUGACCCAACAAUCAUAGCAUACAAAGCAAAGCACAUGCGGAAGCUUAACAUGUCUAAGUACAGACAUCUACAAAUGAAAAAGGCUAAGAAGCCUGACUAUCUACCAGAUCCUGCCGAGGACACAAGAUCGUAGCUGAGGUAUCAAGAUAAACGUCGAAGUCCACACGGAACAACUAGCGAGACUGACGUCUCUCUGCAAAACAUAAAAUAGGCAAACGUGAGUUCAAAUGUACCCAGGAAGACUUACAUCAGAACUAUCUACAUAUGCAUCGGUAUCAAUAAAGGGGGUGGUGGAGUUUAACUGCAGCAAGCCAGCUUUGACCCAGUGGCUAACCUCAACUACGACUGCAAGCAACUCUUCUGAGGUGGUGCACACGAGUCCAUAUAUUCACCAUUCAAUACACCACUAUGGAUCCGCUCCCGUCUCCCUACGAGAAGGCCAUCCAUAGCACUCACACUUAUCUUGCGAGUUUUAGAGUAUCCACUUUCACUUGUCUAUGAAAGUGUUAUAGGCAACCCAGAAGUCCUUUACCGCGGACACGGCUAUUCGAAUAGAUCAUUUAUAACCCUGCAGGGGUGUACUUCUUCACACACGCUCUCCAAACUUACCACCAUGUACACAUCGUGUAUCUCGGCAAACUUCAAGCGGAAGCCUGGCGAGGGAGUCGGCCACGACCUGACUAACCACACAAGUCUCUAGUCCAGGUUUAUCGCCUAUUCGGGUUCCAUCCGCGAGGAGAUCCGGCCGGAGUUUCGCUCACAGCCCCAAACGAUGUGUGCAGGGUUCCCGAGACACCAAACGGGCGCCCGGUACACCGUGCCACGGUGUAUCUACCGCAUCAUAGCCCGCCCCUAGGGUCCAUGCUACGUACGGCCGCCAACACAUAUCCUACAAACACCAGAAACUAGUUGCAACUCCUGGACAGAGGACAAGGGCAGUAAUAAGUCGAGAGGGUCCAUUGGUUUCGGGCCCAAUGCGUGGUAGUAGCUGUUCAUGGAUCACAAACACAGAACUCAUUUCCUAAGGACGGUUUCAAUGAGACAACCCACCAUGUACUCCUACAUGGCCUCUCACCGCUACCUUUACCAAAUCGUGUUCACACACUUAGCUCACGCACAAUAGGACAUGUUCACACACCAUUCCAAUUCACUCCCAAUGAAUCAGACCAGACACAACUCUGUGCAAUAGCAGGCACGACAAACAAGCAUGAAUGAGUAGGCACAUCAGGGCUCAAACAACUGCUACUCAUGCUAGUGGGUUUCAUCUAUUUACUGUGGCAAUGACAGGUCAUGCAGAGGAAAGGGGUUCAACUACCGCAGCAUGUAACAGUUGAAUCGUUGUUGUCCAAAUGCAGUAAAAAAGAGCAGGAGCGAGAGAGUGGGAUUGUAUCGGAAUGAACAAGGGGGUUUUGCUUGCCUGGCACUUCUGAAGAUAUUAUAGCUCUUCAUCAGUGUCAUCGAACUCAUCGUCGGGAGCACGUCUAUCGAGAGGGGAUAAAUACCGACAACAUGGAAGGAAAACACAAUCAAUGCAAUGCACAAUAUGAUGCAUGAUCAUGACAUGUCAAUAUGUUGUGUUGGGCUAAUGCAUCUACAACCCGGGUGGUUUGAGCUCAUUUGAAUCAAAGAUUCAAAUGCAAACUCAAGUUAUGGGUUUAUAAAGUGCAUUAACAUGUUUUGAGCUAAACAUCAAUGUUAAGUUGCUUAAACAUGCAUGAAACCAGUACAGAUGGAUAGAUUGGAUUUUUCUGAUCAUUUUUCAUAUAUAAAUUAUUUCAUUCUGAGUUAUAGAUUAAUUUCUAUGAUUUUUUGAAAUUUAUACUAUUUUCUGGAAUUUCUAAAUCAUUUCUGAAAUAGAAAUAAUCCAGAACUGGUUUAUUGUGUCAGCCUGACGUCAAAGUGAUGUCAGCAGGUCAACAGCGCCAGCAAGGUCAAACCUGACGGCUGGGACUCGCACGUCAGUGACACAUGAGGUUAAACAGUGUUAUUUGAUAUUAGAUUAAUCCUAAACUAAUUCUGUCAGUGGCAGGGCCCACAUGUCAGUGUCUAGUGUUAAACAGAACAGGAUGGUUAGUGGCUAAUUAAGCCAGACACGUCAGCCCACCGGAGUUAGUCGCCGGUGACCUCUGGCCACGGCGGAAACACACCGGGAGGCCACGGGAGCGGUGGAGAAAGGCACCAGGAGGUAGCCCGUGCGCCCGCGCAUCCAACAGAGCAGGUGGGAGGUCGCGGGGUGGUCGGAGCUCGCCGGAAGUGAGCUCGCGGCGGCGCCGGAGUUCGGGUGAGUGUGGGGUUGGCGCUGUGGGGCACGGGAGGGCAAGUUAGCGUGUGCGUUAGGCUCCUGGUCACUUCCUGAGCACGGUGACGUGCUCACCUUGGACGAAGGCGAGCUAAAACAACGGCGGCGACAUGACCAACGCCGGCGAGGACUCGGCAUCGACAGAAAUGGGGGCUACGCUAGGUUAUCGAGCACAGGGAAGGGGGGGUUCGGUAUAGGAGCUCACGGAGAGGUCGUCGGUGAUCGCAGCGUGCUCAGGGACAGCUUGGUGACGACGAAUCGGUCGACGGUGGCCGUCGGUGCAGAGGACGAAGAUGGUGUCGGUGGGGGCGCUCCAGGGCGUCCGGCGUCGUGUGGCUCGUCGGGGAGGACUACGACGUCGUUUCGGAGCUCGGGGUUGUGUCGGAGAGGUUCGGGGAUGGCUGUGGCCGCGGUGCCAGCGAGCGCGGCGGCGAGCUCCCCUCGGUGGUGCUGCGGGAGAGAGCAGAGGAGGGGGAGGGGGUCCAGGGAGAGAGCGAGGGGGUCGAGAGGGAGUGCGUGGCAUUGCGGAGGGAGUCCAGGGCGAUGAGGGGGCAGCCAGGCAGGCAGCUGCCGGCGUGGCACGCUGUGGCGUCGUGGCUGUCUUCUCCUGUGCCUUCUGGCAGGAGGAGGAAGACGCCCCUGCCCUCGGUGGGCCGGCCAGGUGGCUGGGCUGCCAGGUGGGCUGAGCCUGCAGGUAAUAUAGGUAGGUGGCCCUGGUUAGUUCCCUCUCCAUCUUCUCUUUUUGUUUUCUAUUUUCUUUUAUUCUGUUUUGAAUUAGUAAAAAUACUAAUCCAUUUUGUAAAAUCCUGAAAAUAAUGGUGGGCAGUGUUUGGAUUAUUUCCAACAACCCAAAACUAGUUUCAGAAUUAUUAGAGCAUUUAAAAAUAUUUGUAGGAUUUAAAUGCUCCAAUUCAAAUAGGAUAUGAGUUAAUUCAAAGAUCCAGAAUGUCCUUGAAAUAUAUUCGUCAUUUUUGGCAGAGGUUUUCACCUUUACCAGAAAUCAUGAACAUUUUCAAAGGGCAUUCUGGGUUCUUUGAAAAAGAUUUUGGAUUGAACCUAGUUGAGUUCCAUUUGGUGCUAGGGUUUGAACAUCCCCAUUUCAACUUAAACAGAAUUUAAACAUGAUGCAACAAGAUGCAAAACACCAGGCAGUACCAUAAGCUAGGGAUGUGACAGCUCACCCCCACUAAACAAGAAUCUCGUCCCGAGAUUCAAGGCGUGAGGUAAGAAGACAGAGGGGAUACGAGGCUAGCACGAUCUUCAUGAUCCAAGUGCCCUCAUCGAAGAUGUUGAUUCGUUCUACCACAUGAUCUUGACGUCUUGGCCUUCGAGAUAUUUGUCCAACAUGACACGAAGGAGAAAGGGAAACUCUAGAAGGAUCGAUCUUCUCGAAGAUCGAACAACUCAGGAUCAACUCACGGAAUGAGACGUAGGAAUAUCUCUUGAGCUAAGACACGAGACACUCAUCGGGGUGAUAGGAAAAAGAAGGUGGUGGCUUGAUUUGGUAGGAAACCAUUCCAUGCUUAAAUAGUUGGCGAGGGGGUUUCAAGGUAGCGAGGAGUUAAGUUGCCCAUGAUACCAUAAUGAGACAUCUUAGGGGAUAUGACUCAUAGAGUUAUUCCCUUAAGUGGCCAAAAGAAUUACUUUUGAGACGGAAAUCAUUGAAACUCUCUAUACCAGCCUAAGGCAAUUCAUCAACAAUCAUUUGGUGAAGUUCAGGGGAAUGGCAUACCCGGACUAGAAUGGAUGAUGUGGACUACCUUGUUAAAGACAAUGCAAUGGAUGAUUUUUGCUUAUCAUCGGAAAUGGAUGGGACUCAUGGCAAGUCCACUUUUGAAGAU